UUUUUUUUUACUUAUGUAGGUUCUGUCUCUCUGAUUUUGUAAGCAACAGGCACUGUCCAGCAGGCUGCACUAUUGCAGGAGCAUAGUUCGGCUCCUAAGUAAGUAUUUUGACCACUUGACUUUUUUUAAUUUUAGGGAAAGUAAAGACUAGUUUGCAGCCAAUUAUGAAUUGUUUAGACACGAGAAUGUGCAAUUUUCACAUUUGUUGAAAGUGAUUUCUUCUUGCAAGUUAAGGAUGAGGACAUCAUCACUCAUUUCCAGUGCAUCAAGGAUCGCAAAAUUAUCCUGUAAUUUGUCAGCUUUUUUUAUCAUUUAUUAUUUUCUAUCCUCUAUAUAUCUUAGAUUUUGCCAUGCAGUGGCGGAGCUAGAAAGAAUAUUAAGGGGGUGCUAAACCAAAAUAUAGAUGCUUGGAAGGGCCAAAAGCUAAAUUUAUCUAAUCUAAGCAGCCCCAAAAAUAUUCCUUCAUGAUUUUUACAAAGGCUGGGGGGNNNNNNNNNNNNNNNNNNNNNNNNNNNNNNNNNNNNNNNNNNNNNNNNNNNNNNNNNNNNNNNNNNNNNNNNNNNNNNNNNNNNNNNNNNNNNNNNNNNNNNNNNNNNNNNNNNNNNNNNNNNNNNNNNNNNNNNNNNNNNNNNNNNNNNNNNNNNNNNNNNNNNNNNNNNNNNNNNNNNNNNNNNNNNNNNNNNNNNNNNNNNNNNNCCGCCCCUGUUGCCAUGAUAUGUUGAACAACUUUUUACUUCUAUAUGUUGGACAAUACCAAGUUAUGAUCAAUUUUAUAUUAUGUGGUAUCUCUUGUGUAGUUCAGAACUAGUACAAUAUGCUGCUAUAAUUGCUUUUACGCACCAAAAGGAAGGUCGUAGGCCAAAAAAAAGUUUUCAAAUUUUGAAUACGCGGUCUUGAAUUCCUAGGCCCGCCCUGCUUCAGAAGACUAACAUCUCUUCCUUUUUUACGUAGACAAUUCUUCUGUUCUCUUCGGCUACCUUUUGUAGACAAGGCCAGAAGUGAUCAUCGAAAUUACAAACUUGCUCAAGCAUAUUCACUAAACAACCACCCGUACCUAUAGUGAUCCCUUCCUUUCAAUUUAAUUAAUCAUAUUAUUUCGUCGCACACUAAGAAUUGUUGCUCUUUCCAAAGAGACUAUUUUUUGAGUUUGGUUUCAUAUAUCACAUGGUUAACUUUUUUAUUUUGUAGGGAGUAACCGAAAAUUGUCUUGAUUGAAAAGAUGUAUUUUUAUCUGAAUCAAGCUCAUCUAUUCAUGUUUGAUAAAUUGCACCUAUAUCCGGAUCAAAAGGCUUACUCAUACUUCCGCAGCAACGCGCGGGGUAUCAUCUAGUUUAGUUAGUGUUCACAUUUUUUUUCUUUCCCUACAUUAAAAAAUGAUCGACUUGAGUUUAUUCUGGAUGAUUACACUUUUUUACCCCUCACGAGUUCUAUCGAUUUUACAGAAAGAUACUCAUAGUUCUCAUUUCCAUAUUUUCAUAUCCAAAAUUUUAGGAUUUCACGCACCAUCUUUUCAGCUCCUCACGUAUACUACAAUUUUUGUUGAAAGGUCCUCAUAAUUUUUCAUUCAGCUAUCUGAGGAUGCACGACGCUCAUUUGUGUUCAGGUUUCCUCCUUUUUGACGAUUCAUGUGUUUUCUUUUCUUUUUGAAACGACAUUCAUUAAGAAAAGAGUUGCUUGGUUAAUUAGACCAUAUAUAUAUAUAUAUACAAUGUUGUGUCUCACUUUAUUCAGAUGGCACUUGAUGACUCUACCAUGGUUGCCUCCACCGUGUUUGAGCAGAGCAUGAACUUUAAUCUCCCAACAUUUCAAAACAUGGCUAAGGAAAAAAAAUGAUUGCUAUAACAAGCACAUCCCUGUACUGACUUCUCCGUCGCAAGGUUCAGAGGGGCAUUCCUGUACUGGCCUCUCCGCUUGUAAGGUUCAGAGGAGAGCCAUAGAGAUCCUUCUAUUGGUCAGGCUCGGGGCUACAUAAUUAUUCAUAAAUCCUAGAGUCACCAUAGAAGUUGCAUCCACCGACCACUCAAUCUUGCCCGGGGCCGGGGCUACUUCAGCGUACACAACACCUGCGCGACUUUGGGUGUCAAAACAGGCUAACAACCACCACAUGUCUUUCAUUUGCGUUUGCGACCUCAUGCGCAAGCCAGACUCAAACAGAGGCUCCCUACGUCACAAAACCAGAGCUCGCGGCAUGGUUGAUCGGGGGUCAUUCUACUAAACAAAAUAAAAAUAGAACAAAUGCAUUCAUAAAAGCAAAAACACAUACACUAUAUCAGGCUCCCUCUGAAGAGUCAUUUAAAUCUUCCACAAACCGCCUUGAGAUUUUUUGCAGGUCGCAGGCGCUAGCGGCGUACUCAGCCUCUCCAGCGACCUACUCGAAGUUGCUCUUUAUUUUGCGCUCACCUGGGUCUCCCGGACGAGGGAACGAACGCCAUCGUGGAAUAGCGGGAUCUCAUGCCAGCUAGCACCUAGCGGGCUCCUUCAUAAGCAUCAGACACUUGCUAGUCCAUCAAGUAGACAGAAGCUCGCUACAACAAUUCCACCGCACCUUGAAGAUCGCCCCACAGGUCAGGGGCAAAUCCUAAACGCGGUUCGUAGCGCCCGUUUCUUCGAUUUUCACAAACGGGCGCACACCCGUGCAGCAUGCUGGGUCGGCCCGUCUUGCAUUUUUUUUUCAUUCAAAUCUGAAGCAAAAAAGGGUGUGCACACGGGGAUUGAAACUCAUUAUCUUCUUUUAUUUUUUUCACUAGGUCGCGAGAGCUUUAGAGCCUAUAUAAUUUUUUAUUUUUAAUCGAAGACCUUUUUUUUCUUCAAAACCGAUGAACUUAUUUUCCAAAAUCCACGAACAUUUUCUAGAUUCAUCAACUAUUUUCAAAUUCGGUGAACUUUUUUCAAGUUUCUGAACUUUUCUUACAAAAUCGAUUGAAUUUUUUUAAAUUUUUUGAACCGUUUUCUAAUUCGACGAAAAAAGUUCACCGAAUUUUAUGAAUAUUUCUUCAAAUUCGGUAAACCUCUUUAAAAGUCGAUGUACUUAUCUAAAAAUCAGUGAACUUUUUUCAAAUUCAUGAACUUUUUUUGAAACCGAUGAACUAUUUUCAAAAUUAUUGAUUUUUUUUUCAAAUUUGAUGAACUUUUUUCAAAUUUGAUCAACUUUUUUCAAAAUCAAUGAUUUUUUUAAUUCCAAGAUCUUUGUUCAGAAUUACUAUUUUUUCUGUAAUUCAUGAACUUUUUCCGAAAGGUUUUCAAAUAAUUGAAAAAUCAAAGAUCUACAAUAAUUGUUACAUGUGCAAUAAAUUGCGCGGCUAUAAAUGUUCCUAAUUAAUUUGCCCUUGAAUUGGUCACUAGCAUGUUGGUCAGGUGGUUAGCCAUACUUUUUUUAGGGGUAAAGCACAUCUUUAUUCAUCAAAGUCCACACGCAGUGGGAUACGUCUUUGGUCAUAGGGCUGGCCAAACCACACAUGGCGUCCCAGACCUCUUGACAAAGCAAAUUUAGCUAAGUUAUGUGCUUCAUAGUUUGCAGCACGACUCUCGAAAGUAAAAAUACAAUGAAAGGUAGAAGCUCUAUGAUUUAUCUCGCUUAUAAUUGAUGCAUAUCCUCCUCUUGUACCCGUGUUGAUGUCCUGGAUCACCUGUCGGCAAUCUGAAGCAAUAACAAAAUCUCUGAUAUUGAGGUCCUCCGCCAGCGCCAGUGCCUCGCGACACGCGAUCGCUUCCAGAGUGGCUGAAUCGAGGGUUCCUUCAGUGACCAGAGCCGAACCACCAACAUAGCUACCACUCUCAUCCCUGCAUACCGCCGCCGCCAAACCCCCACGUGAUCGAACCGCUGCAUCGACGUGGAUUUUGCAAAAUCCUGGUGGUGGUCGUUUUGGUCUUUGAUGUUGCCCUGCUGGGGUCCCGGUGGCUAUCCUGGACCGUUGUUGCUUAUUGCUCAGGACUCCUAGUUCAUCGGUAAAACGUUGGACGAACAUGUGUGUCGCUUGGGGGCUCUGGAAAAUUCCCUCAUGAAUGGCCUUUCGACGAGCAUGCCAUAUUGACCAUAAGGUGACCGUCAAGAGUAUGAACUUGUCAUGGGAAAGCAAUUCCAUCAAGGUGAAUAACCAAUUCUUAGCAUUGGGCUCUGUUGUAGCUGUGAUUUUAUGUGUUACCGCUUCGUCUGUCAAGGCCCAUAUACUCCGUGAGGAUGAGCACUCCAACAGCGAGUGGCGCCACGAAUCUUGAACUCCGCACAAGCCACACUGUCCCGAAUCUGUCAUGUGCCGAUAUGCACGGACAUCAUUCGUUGGCAGAGACUAUUUUGAGAGUCUCCAUAGAAGCAUGCGGAUCUUACCCGGGACGUUAGUUUUCCAAAGAGAUUUCCAUGAUCCCUCCGCUGCUCUAGAACUUGACGGACCCGCCGUUCCUUCUAACCAAGCCUCCCUCCUCUGUCUUGUUGCUAUCAGCAUGUUGUAUGCAGAUUUAACAGAGAAGUUCCCUUUUUUGUCAUAGUGCCAGGCCCAAAAAUCUGGCAUAUUACGAGUACAUAGCGGGAUUCCCAGUAUUACUUGAGCAUCCAUUCGCAUAAACGUCGCCGUGACAAGUUCCUUGUUCCAGGCUGCUGUGGUGGGUUCUAUGAGUUCCGAGACCAUGAUGGGGCGGUGGAUUGUUAAACAACCGUAUGGUGGAAGCAUUGCAUCACGUGGUAGCCAAUACGUGGUUAGCCAAACUUAAAUGUUGUGUCACGGCGGCGUUGCCAAGCGCGACAUGCGCAUUCGCAGACAAAAUUGGGCCAUGUAUGUAUGGGCCAACGCUACAAGUUGAGACGGAGACCGGCCGAAAGAAGCUUGUAAUUAGCCCGUGGGCUCAUGGGCCUUGUGCUUGUAAUAAGCGUCGUGUACUGCCUGUGGAAGGAAACGAGGCAAGAAGAAGCACACGGCGAAGCCCUAGCUAGAUUCCGCCGCCGCCGCCGCCGCCGCCGCCGGCUCUAAUAAACCUGUCGAACCUGAUGGCGCUGCGCUCUCUUGUUAGAAAGAUGCCGGCCCUGGGUCUCAGGCCGCCGCCGACGGCCAACCUUAUGGGUCCCGUCCGGGCGCUGUCGCCGGCGGCGGGUUCUCGGCUCAUGUCCCAUGGGGCUCCGGUAAGCACCUCACCUUACUUCCUAAUUCGAUUCCAUCUGAUUUGUUGCAAACCAACUUGCCUCGUUUCAUCUAUCAAAUCAAUCACCGUUGUAUCUUUGUUGGCUGUCUCGAUGGUGGAAUUAUUUUCGAUAAGAUUCGACUGUUAGAGAAAGUUACUAUUAGGAGUUAUUUAGGCGAUUUAUUCAGAUUUUACAUAGUAGUCCCUCCGUAAACUAAUAUAAGAGUGUUUACAUCACUAGUUUAGUGAUCUAAAUGCUCUUAUAUUAGUUUACAGAGGGAGUACAAUUUUUGGGAACUAUUGGAUCUUCAUCCUGAGCCUAACGCGUUAGGUGCGUGAUUUGCUCACUCCUUUGCGGUUUGUGAGAUUCUAUUAUUUUCCUUAAAUUGUAGGCAAUCGAUCGCUUGUGCGCGGAGAUCUAUUCUGAAGACGAGAUGGCUAGGGUUCGGGAGGAAAUAAAUCGCCUGCGCGCGGAGACUGACCAGAACCGCAUAGAGUUAAAAAAGCAGGACGCUGAGGGGUUGAAGAUGAUUGAGAUGACCCAACAAGUCAUGGACGCAGCUGAAGCUUCUUAUAAUGAAGCCGCCAGGUAAAUGCUAAAUUUUACCAAUAACACAACAUUCCUCUUUUCAUUACAAAGUUGUUUUGUGAACUGUACAGCGUUAGGACUUAAAUUUUGUCAUAACAGUCUUUUACUCUUCUUCACUGCAACGUCGAUGCUAUCUAUUAUGAUGAUCAGAAAUAUUUUCUGUUUGUUGAGACCACACAUAGGGUGCUCUUUCUCUGAAAAAAGAUUUGCAUCAUCCAUUAAUUGAAGAGAGCUGCCCAAUUAAUGAACGGAAAACAAGGCUAAAACUGUCUAAUCCAUGCUUUUAAGUUAACUACGCCCAUGGUCUUUUCUUCUAGAAUGUAUGGUUGAUUGUUAUCCGUUAAUAAAAAAAUUAUUAACGACAAUGCUCGAAGUCAUCAGCUUUUAAUUCUCCAAAACUGAUGGUUCAGACAGAACCGUAUGUUAACGAAAAUUCAGUCUGUUUUGUGGCAUAUGGCCAACCAAAAUCACUUGCCUCUUGAGUAUAUCUGAUGAUUGAAAAUUAGGUUGUUUUUUCGCAUAUUGACAACCGAGAUGCCUCGUGGUGAGCUCUUAGCUUAUUUGAGCAUACAAUAUGGUUAUAAAUAUCUUUUAUGUUUAGCUAUGAGUAUGUAGCCUUAUAUUUACAUGAUAUUCCUACCCUAUUCUUAUCUAUUUUUAAAAGGGAAACUUUAUUAUUGUAAGGCUCAUCUAAUAUUUCAUGCAUGUGCAGGCAUAAUACUGAAGCCAUUAAAAGCAUAAUGGAAGAUUUUCGGAAAAUAGACAAGGCAUGUGACGUUGUUCUCAUUAGCUGUCCGCUGCUGAUUAUCCUUAUGGCCAUGGCUAUGUAGUAACUUCAGCAUGCGAUGUGCCGCUGGAUUUUAUUUAUGGUCUGUGCAUGUUUGGCUGUUGGCAAUUGGAAGAGACCUGUUUGUUAAGCACCUGUCUGUAUAUAGUUCAUAUGUGUGUCUAUAUAUAUUGAUUUGCUCUUUCCGUUGUCACGGCUAGCUUUGAAAACUGUCGCUUGUCUACCUCUGUUCCACGGCAGCACAUCACACAAAUCAGUGCAUGGAGCCUGGCUUAAAAACCUGAAAUGUAGACCUAGCUAUGAUGUUGAAUUAUUAUUUUUCAUCAAAACAAAGCUCAUGAACAAGGCCCUACCUCUGGAAACUUACGGCAAGUUCAUGUUCUCUGAGUCUGUGCUUCUCUGUUUGUCGGGUGCUAUUGGGCUGCACCUCUUUCCCUGCUUUUCGAAAUUAUUUUUGUCAUGCCAUGGGUCGCGCCCUGCUUUGUAAUGGGAUUGAUGCUGUUGUUGUAAUCUUCUGUGUUCUUGGAACAAAUUAGAGCCAGGGUUAAAUAUUUCAAUAAAAGCACAUUGGAAUUUUUGAAAUUUUUCAUAUUUUAGUGUGGUCCAAAGUAUUUCUAAUCCUGAAAUAUUGAGCCAAGUUAAAACUAAUUUUAAAAUAAAUUUAAAUCAGGCUAGAAUCCAAUGAAAUUUGAAAUCUCAAAAUCCGAAGUUUUGCAUAUUUCAUUGAUGCCUGAAAUUGUUUUGUUUACUGAAUUAAAAACAUUGAUCGGUGCCUAAUUUUCCUGCUCUGUUCUUGGUCCUCGAUUUGUGCUUAGUUUUCGACUGAUCUGUCUACGCGGUAACCUCAACCAACAAAUGAUAAGUUGGUCCAUGAGAUGAUUACCUCGAGCCUUUUUCGCUUGGGCGUGCAGUGUCUAUAAAGGCUCGAGUGGGUGGUGGGUGCCCUUGAAAGGAUUCAUGAGCUUUACAUAUGACAGCUUCAUCAGAAGAUUUUGCAAUGAACGCAAAGUACAGACGAGGACUAAACAUUGGACCUGUGAAAAUCUAGUAUACAACCACUUUACAUAUGACAGCUUCAUCAGAAGAUUUUGCAAUGAACGCAAAGUACAGACGAGGACUAAACAUUGGACCAGUGAAAAUUUAGUAUACAACCACUUUACAUAUGACAGCUUCAUCAGAAGAUUUUUCAAUGAACGCAAAGUACAGACGAGGACUAAACAUUGGACCUGUGAAAAUCUAGUAUACAACCACUUUACAUAUGACAGCUUCAUAAGAAGAUUUUGCAAUGNNNNNNNNNNNNNNNNNNNNNNNNNNNNNNNNNNNNNNNNNNNNNNNNNNNNNNNNNNNNNNNNNNNNNNNNNNNNNNNNNNNNNNNNNNNNNNNNNNNNNNNNNNNNNNNNNNNNNNNNNNNNNNNNNNNNNNNNNNNNNNNNNNNNNNNNNNNNNNNNNNNNNNNNNNNNNNNNNNNNNNNNNNNNNNNNNNNNNNNNNNNNNAUUGGACCUGUGAAAAUCUAGUAUACAACCACUUUACAUAUGACAGCUUCAUCAGAAGAUUUUGCAAUGAACACAAAGGACAUACGAGGACUAAACAUUGGACCUGUGAAAAUCUAGUAUACAACCACUUUACAUAUGACAGCUUCAUCAGAAGAUUUUGCAAUGAACACAAAGGACAUACGAGGACUAAACAUUGGACCUGUGAAAAUCUAGUAUACAACCACUUUACAUAUGACAGCUUCAUCAGAAGAUUUUGCAAUGAACACAAAGGACAUACGAGGACUAAAACUAAAACAUUGGACCUGCGAAAAUCUAGUAUACAACCACUGAACUGAUUACCUAAUCCUCCAUCCGGCUAACCCUCGUUGCAGCAGCAUUUUUAUCAUGCGGUACAUGGAAACAAGUCAUUUGGGGUCUGGAGUGAUGAUCACAAGCGCGCUAUGAGAAACAUUUCAUGGUUCCCUGGUUUGGUUUCCUGGUUUGGUUUCCUGGUGAUCAUCACUGGUCCCCGGUUCCAUUGCUCCGCCACUCCGAUCUUCGUUGUUGGAGAUCUUGAAGAGAAACAUUUCAUGGUUCCCUGGUUUCACCUGCUUGCAAUGGAACCGGGGACUUGUCGCCCUCCCCGACAGUCUAAAAAAAAUGAGAGAAGAGAAACAUUUGGAGGACCUCAGCGCAAGCACAUGAUGGCAUUACCGAUCGGGGGAGGGGUGCAGGGGGAGAGAUCCGUGCGAGUGGAUCGGUUCCAUUCACUUGCGCCGCCGCCCGCCGGGUGUAUAGUCGAUGAUGCGCAGGCUGUGUUCCUGUUCAGCAGCGCGUGGCUAUGGCGUCGAGGAUGGGCGGCAAAAUUCUACUACCUCCUUCCCAAAUUAUAGAACGUCUUACAAUUUGGGAGAGAGGAAGUACUAGUCGUAGGAUAUGCAGUCACAUCGAUGAUCCUUGGGCACAAUUAAGCGCGAGAAAUUGAAACAGACGAGCCGAAACCAUGCAUACAAAACCAACCCUGUAGCACCCAGAGACAACGCAUUUUGACCAGGAUAACAGUUCCUGCACAACAAGAGAGACUGAUGCCAUGCACCAGCUACAACCAAUUAUCAAUUCUGCUCCGCUAUAAGAAAAUUAAAAAAAAAUCAUAAAGUUGAAACCACCCAUUGUCAUGCUCAUAUUCAAUUUCACAUGCCUACAAGAAAUAAGCAUCUCAAUUGUCACAUCACAACAAUAUCAGAGUUACAGAUCUAUGGCAGCGAGAUAUAUUGUCACAGCACAACAAGAAACAAGGCUCGCAAGCGGAAAACUGAGAAUUGGAGUGGAAAGAAAGACAUUUAUUAUUUCAUACAUUACAACAGUUUGUUAAAAAAAAGCUUGAGGCGAGGCAUCUUUUGCCGGAUACUACAAUUGAGGAGAAGAAAACAUAAAACCAGCAUGAAUUGAACAGAAAAACAUUUACUAAUCAAUAAUCACAUCAGUUGGGAAGCACACCCACUCCAUAGAAUAUAAUACUUGGCUCUUUCUACCAUAUAGGCAACAUUGAAUAAUUCAAAUAAUUUGUUCUCACUACAACAUUGGUGUAACUUACACACACCAUUCUGACAUAUAAGAUCAAAAGCUAUAGUGAAUUAGGUAAACCAUAUAGCCUUAUAAUAAACAGCAGAUCAAACUUACAAAAGGGGGUUUGUCCAAAUCCUACCCAUGAAAAAAAUAUAGGUUGAUUUCGGGGCUAGUGGCUACCAAGUUUCCAUUUGGUAAUAAAGUCCUGAUAAACAUGUUGAGAACAAAAAUGAAGACCAACUAUACCAGACUGCAAAGUAGCAAGCAUAUGCAUUAUUAGUAUUUCUUGGUUAAUUCUUCACACUGAAAUCAAUAUGAAGAGCCUCAACAGAACGAGAAACUAUAAGAGGCAAGGAAAAAAUAUGCUAGAAGAGCACAAGCUUCCAACUCAAUGUGUACAACAGCACAAGGAUUAUACUGAGAUACUGAGAUAGUUCUAUACACCUUAAGGAGAAAUUCAUAAACAUGAAAAUUGUUCUGGCCAUCUAGAUACAAGUACUUAACAUUGAUGGCCUUACGAAUCAGUACAGCCAAAAUAAAAAGGCUGCAAAAAUAACAAAGGUUGAAAACUGGAAUUCAAUUGUUUCCUUUCCAGCAAUGAGAGGAACCCAAUCCAUACUUCUUAUAUUCAAAAAUCUAGCUAAAGGAUUCCCCCCAGAGAAAGUCAACAUAUACUAACACAGGAAAAUACACCACAAUCUCCACAAACUGUAACCAGAAACAAGGUCAUCACACAUUGCACCAUCCAGAAUGCUAAUUAAGCAAAAUAACAGAGGAAAGUAAACUCUUCCCAGCUAAAAAGGGGUAAAGGUGAAGCCAUUCAUUCUCAUGCUCAUAUUCAAUUCUGCAUACCGACCAGAAAUAAGUAUCUAGAUUGUCACAUCACAACAAUAUCCGAGUUAAAGAUCUGUGCCAGCGCCAUAUACUGUCACGGCACAACAAGAAAAAAGGCUCGCAAGCUGAAAACUUAGUACUGGAGUGCAAAGAAAGACAUUAUUAUUUCACACAUUACAAUGCGAAUUCAACAGUUUCUUCAAAGCUUAAAAGAUUGUUCUUGGCAAGACCAUGGGCAACAAGCAACAAGGUGAGGCAUCUUUUGCCAGAUACUAAUAUGACUGGGGAAACACACCUCACUCCAUAUAAUCAUAUACUUAGCUCUUUCUACCAUAGUUAGCUAAAUUGAAUCAUUCAAAGAAUUUGUUCUCACUCAAACAUUGGCAUAGCUACCACACACCAUACUGAAAUAAGAGAUCAAAAGCUAUAAUGAAUUAGGUACACCCAUAGCCUUAUAAUAAACAGCAGAUAGAACUGAUGAAAAAGGGUUUGUCCAAAUCCUACCCAUGAAAUAGAUUUGUAAGGGCUAGUGGCUACCAAGCUUCCAUUUGGAAAUAAAGUACUGAUAAACAUUUUGUGUUAUACUAGCCUGCCAAGUAGCAAGCAUGCAUUAUCUGAAUUUCUUGGUUAAUUCUACAAACACUGAAAUCAACAUGAACAUCCUCAACAGAAUGAGAAACUUGAAGAGGCAAGGAAAAAUUGUGCUAGGAAAGCACAACCUUUCAGCUCAAUGUGUACAAUAACACAAGCCUUAUGCUAAGUAAGAUUGUGCUAUAGAGAAAUUCAUAAACUUGAGAGUUGUUCUGGCCAUCUAGAUACAGAACAAAAUGUCAAAUUUAAUGAGAAUUAAUCAAGUACCUAACGUUGAUGGCCGUAGGAAUCAGUACAUGCAAGAAUAACGAAGGUUGAAAACUUGAAUUCAACAAAUGAUAUGGCUCUGAAUUUGGUUUUGUUUCCUUCCAGCAAUGUUUCAUUACUAAGGAUGAAGGAGAUGAAAAUUUAAUAGCAGCACAAAUUGAAGAGAAGAACAUCUACUAAUCAUAUGACUUGGAAGCACAGCUCACUCUAUAAAAUCUAAUGCUUGGCUCUUUAUACCAUAGUUAGCAACAUUGAAUCAUUCAAAGAAUUCCCACUCAAACAUUGGCAUAGCUUACCCACACAAUUCUGACAUAUAAGAUCAAAAGCUAUAGUGAAUUAGGUACACCAUCACCUUAUGAUAAACAGCAGAUCAAACUUAUAAGAAAGGGUUUGCCCAAAUCCUUCCCUAGAUUUCCCAGGGCUAGUGGCUACCAAGUUUCCAUUUGGAAAUAAAGUCCUGAUAAACAUUUUGUGACGAAAAAAGAAGACCAAUUAUACCAGCCUGCAAAGUAGCAAGCAUUCAUUACCUGAAUUUCUUGGUUAAUUCUUCACACACUGAAAUCAAUAUGAACAGCCUCGAGGAAAAAAUAUGCUAGAAGAGCACAGGCUUCCAACUCAAUAUGUACAACAGCACAAGGAUUAUUAUAGUAAGAUACUGAGAUAGUGCUAUGCAUUAAGGAGAAAUUCAUAAACUUGAGAAUUUUCCUGGCAUCUAGAUACACGACAAAAUGUCAGAUUUCAUGAGCAUUAAUCCAAUCAUGAGUACCUAAUUGUUGAUGGCCUUACGAGCCAGUACAGCCAAAAUAAGCAGGAUGCAAGAAUAACAAAAGGUUGAACAAGCGAUAUGGCUCUGAAUGUGGUUUAGUUUCCUUUCCAGCAAUGAAAGAAAACCCAAUUCCAUACUUGUUAUAUCGAAAUCUAGCUAAGGAUUCUCCCCAUACAAAGCAAGUCUAGUGUACUUAACAAAGACAUUCAGCAUAUACUAAUGCAGGCAGAUAGACCAUAAUUUAUAACAAGCAACAAUGUCAUCACACAUUGCACCAUCCAGAAGCUAAUUAAGCAAAAUGGCACAUUCACAUAAGAAUGUCUAGAUAGUAUGCUUGCAAAAAGAGGCAAAACUAAGAUGAUACAACCACCAGCGUUUGUUUGUGAGGCAAAACUAAGAUGAUACAGCCACCCGCGUUUGUUUGCGAGUCCCAUUUCCGCCUUAGCUAACUAAGGGGAGCCGCCUGAGCCUCUGGAGGAGGUGCCGCCAGUGCCCGGAGGAGGCUGGUCCGGUUCGUUGCUCUCCUGCAGUGCCCGCUUGGCCAGCACAACCUCGACAGCCAGCUUCGCUGUGGAGUCAAGCUUGGCAUUGAAGUCCUUCUCAAGCUUAGCGAUCUUCUUCUGGAACAGGGCAUCUGCAGCCUUGAGGUUGUCAUCUCUUGAGUGGGCGCUCACUACGUUCAUCACCCCAAAAGCUACCGCAGAAGCGCCCAGGAGGACGGUACAGGCAACUUUCCAUGUGUUCUUCUUGAUCUGUAGAAGACACUGGACGUGCUGCUUGUCCACCUUGAUGUCGCGUGCGGCUGAUGCGACCGCAAGAGCCCGGAUCUGGUCAGAUGAAGUGCCGCAGAUUGUUCAGCCCGGCCUGGACCUCCUUGUACUGGUCGAACGAGGCCUUGUCCAGCUUCAGCUCGAGCGUCACCAUCUUCUGAUCGAUCUCGACGAAGAUGCGCGCGGUCUGCCUCUCGUAGUCGACCUCGAGGCGGGCGACGCGCUCCUCCAGCUGGCGGACGGGAUGCGACCCCUCGAGGCCCUUGGCAGCGCCCGCCUCGAGGGAGCCGACGCGCUUCUCGAGCUCCGCGAGGCGCUGCUCCAUCUGCGGGGAAGCGCCGGUGUGGUGGCCGCGGCGGCGGAGGAACGCGCCGGCGAAACGGUAGCGGGCGGCAGCGGCAGCGGCGGGCGAGAUGGUGGGAGCCGCGGUCGCGGCGGCGAGGUGGCGGGGGAUGGUGGCGGUGGCGGCGGCGACGGCGAGGUGGCGGGGGAUGGUGGCGGCGGCGCGGCGCGCGAGGGCGGCGGCCAUGGUGGUGACCCUAGUCUAACCUAACUAAACGAUCUGCCACGAUCUGGGCUCGAGGCGUGGACCGAAACAUAUACACCGGUCACCGGAGCGCGGGGGUCGGGGCUGUCCACUGGGCCAGGUGGGCUUCGCUUAGAAGUGGGCCCUUUUCUAGUUCCAACAAUGUUCUAAAUUAGGGAGCAACUAAUUAACGAGCGCUCCUUCGGGAGCCUCGCAACGAUCAGCGCCACUUGACGUGCUGUCAGUCAUUCGCCACAUGUCGCGCUCUGGACGCUCCCUCCGGAUUUUUUUUUAUUUUUCCGCACGCGUUUUCGGCUUUUUUCCGUUUUUUUGACGUUUUGGUUUUCCACCGGUCUUUCCUAUGUUUUCGAUCACAAAUUUUUUUUAAAAAAAAUUUGCGCAAAAAAACACAUUUUUUCGCGAGAGGCACGGGCGUGCCUCUUGGAAAUGAAAAAAAACAUGUUUAUGUUUUUUUUCCUUUCGCGAGAGGCACGGAUUUGCUUCCGCAAGAGGCACGGUUGUGCUUUCGCGAGAGUCACGGCCGUGCCUCCUCGGAAACGGAAAAAAACACAUUUCUUUUUUUUUCUUUCGCGAGAGGCACGGUUGUGCUUUCGCGAGAGUCACGGCCGUGCCUCCUCCGAAACGGAAAAAACACAUUUCUUUUUUUUUCUUCCGCGAGAGGCACGAUUGUGCUUUCGCGAGAGGCACGGGCCUGCCUGUUUCGGAAAGGGAAAAACGCGUUUUCUGUUUUUUUUCUUUCGCGAGAGGCAUGGUUUUGCUUCCGCGAGAGGCACGGUUGUGAUUUCGUCAGAGGCACAGUCGUGCCUCUUUUGGAAAGGGAAAAAAACCCGUAUUCCCGGUUCGGUUUUUCGUCGGUUUUUUUCGUCCGAUUUUUUCAUGAAAAAAAAUGUUCGUCAAAACCUAUCAACAUAGGAUCUAGUUUUGAAGGUCUCGACGCGAGGAAUCCAACGGCGAAAGCGAUUCGAGAUUUGGAUGCACGGUUUAAGAGAUAAAACGUUUUGAAUAAACGGAUCUACAAAAAAGGGAAAACUCCCGGGUUACGCCAAGUGACGCACAUGCAGCGCGCCAUUUGUCGCAACCUGCGGAAGUUGGAGUGAUCUCCGCAAGGAGUACUCCUCAGUUAGUGAUUUCGUCUAAAUUACUGUAUAUGUUUUAUUAUAAGUCAAUCUUUUUAGACUUUGACCAAGUUUUUGUGAGAAUAAUCAACAUCUUCAUAUCGACUAAAUACACCAUGCAAACAUACUUUAGGAUAGAUCUAGUAAAGUUGAUAGAAUAAUAGAUAUGAACAACACAACAUUGUGUUGUGCAGAUACGCACACACCAAUGAUGAUGAUCAUAGGACACACACACAGAUAAACACAUCUAAUCUCAAAGUCAGAAUUACUUAACCAAGAUCUUCCAACCACUCUCACUUUAGUUAAACAUGUAUGUUUCUCUUCCCUCUUGUUGGUAGAAAAGAAAUAAACUUAAAUUAAAACAUGCUAAAACACACGAAAAGAACUCGGGAUAUUACAUUAGAAGCACUCGGAAAGAGGCCCAUAUGAGAGGCACUAUAGCCCAAAAUACAUUUCCAACAAAGACUAGACCAACAAAAAUACAAAGCCCACUCCGUCGUUGGACCAAAAAUAAAUGGGAAACAGAUAAUAUACUACACCAACUCCUGGGCCAACAAAGAACAAACCUGUUGACCUACUUAGAUAGACAAAAAUCAGUGAGUAAAAUUAACUCUUACACAGAUUUUUUAUGUUCUAGUUCCAAAAAUUACAUAUAUGACUAGGAUUUAACAAUUUCUUGGGCGACUAAGAAUUUGCAAAGCCAUUUUAGAUAUGGUCAAUUGCACACAAGAAAACACAUACGAUUUUAGUGUAUCAAAAAGUGCAAAGUGCAAUAUAAAUAAAUAACUACAAUCACGAAGAAAAUUAACAAGGUCUAUAAUAAUCAAACUCAAAGUCUUAAGUUUAAGUUUAAGCUAAACGUACGUAUAUACCUAUUUUUUAGUUACAUACUAUGUAAAUACAAAGAGAAAUUAAAUUAGAAAAAGAUUUUUUGUGUAGACAAAUACACAUUUAAUUCAAAGCUAGAUAGCAAAAGCUAUCGCACGAUGUUAGUACUAAAUCUGCACCAAGUAAAACUAUGAACCAUGAAAGUAAUAUGGUAGUUUGGUUACGUUCAUAAGUUGAUCUCCUUGUGCUACAAUACCUGUUACAUUCUUUUGGACUCUACAAAACAUAUUACAUUACAUACGGUAAUGUAUGAAAAUGGAGGUACGGAAAACAAGGAAUAAAAGCCUGCAGCAGAAAGAAGAUGGGCUUCCUGAAACAUUUGUUGUAAAUAUGAGCAAUUUACCGAAUGAUUUUAUUAACAAAAAUACUAGAUAUAGCAUGGUUAGUAUAGCAGUGAUAAAAUAAGCCAUGCGAUUUGACAAAGAGAAGGUAAACAACAUGUUCAUAUAUGAACCGUAACUAAACAUAAAAUAAGCCAUGCGAUUUGACAAAGAGAAGGUAAACAACAUGUUCAUAUAUGAACCGUAACUAAACAUAUCUAGAGCAGACAGUAUAGCAGGUUGCAUAUAUGAAAUAGAGUCUAACAUAUCUAUGGAAAAUACUAGAACAAGGAACUGUAGCAGAACCUCUAAUAGAAAGGGGAGAGACACGUACGUGACAACAGCAGGAGCAGAUGCACUGGACUUGGGGUCGGUGUCCUCCAUGUCGUCGAGGAGGUUGUCGACGUCGGGGAAGUAGUCGUCGGAGUUCGGGGCGUCCGUGACGAAGAAGUCAGUAGUCGCGCAGAGCGCUCCCCAAAAACCUUAUCACCCUUCUCCCGUACAUGACUCAAAAGGUGCGGUUUCGGAGGCCUACUGUCCCGACCUGCGGUGCACGCCGCAAGCCGGGAUGGGGAAGAUUGUAGCAGCGGCGCAGUGCUUAGGAACUGUGUGGCAAGAGGAAGAGGACCUUCUGAUGUGUCUCUCUGGAGAGGAGCGACCUCUCUUAUAUAGGCACAGGAGAGGGACGCGAACAGGCUGCGACGGGAGAUGAAGCAACGGAGGGAGACGAAGUGAACAGGCAGCACGCGAAGAGGUGCGCCGUUCGUAUUCAUUAUCCACUACCGCAAAACUUUUCAGCUCCCAAGUGACCUUUCGUAUACCCGUAGUACGUGGCAAAAAUUAGACAUCGGCUCGGCUCAUUCCCGCAACCCGCAACCCGCAACCCGCAGCGCAGCGCGUCGUGACGCGGCGUGGCGAGGCGGGCGGCGGAGGAGGAGCGCGCGUGGAUGUCCCUCUUGUUCUCAUGCUCAUACAAGUGGGGAAAAAACCUCCCUUACAAGGAGGUCCAACUCCCACUAAACUAGCAAUGUGGGAGUAAACUUUUGUAGUAUCCCUUGCCUUGCACAAAUGGGCUAAUUGGGCCUCCAACGUAUCUAUAAUUUUUGAUUGUUCCAUGCUAUUAUAUUACCCCUUUUGGAUAUUUAUGGGCUUUAUUUUACACAUUUAUAUCAUUUUUUUGGGACUAACCUAUUAACCAGAGGCCCAGCCCAGAAUUGCUGUUUUUGCCUAUUUCAGUGUUUCGAAGAAACAUAAUAUCAAACAGAGUCCAAACGGAAUGAAACCUUCGGGAACGUGAUUUUCUCACCGAACGUGAUCCGGGAGACUUGGACCCUGCUCCAAGGAACAAAAGAGGCGGUCACGAGGGUGGGGGGCACACCCCUGGGCGCGCCCCCUACCUCGUGGGCCCCCUAUUGCUCCACCGACGUACUCCUUCCUCCUAAUAUACCUACGUACCCCCGACAGAUCAAAAGGGGAGCCAAAAACCUAAUUCCACCGCCGCAACUUUCUGUAUCCACGAGAUCCCAUCUUGGGGCCUGUUCCGGAGCUCCGCCGGCGGGGGCAUCCACCACGGAGGGCUUCUACAUCAACACCAUAGCCCCUCCGAUGAAGUGUGAGUAGUUUACUUCAGACCUUCGGGUCCAUAGCUAGUAGCUAGAUGGCUUCUUCUCUAUUUUUGGAUCUCAAUACAAUGUUCUCCCCCUCUCUUGUGGAGAUCUAUUCGAUGUAAUCUUCUUUUUGCGGUGUGUUUGUUGAGACCGAUGAAUUGUGGGUUUAUGAUCCAGUUUAUCUAUGAAUAAUAUUUGAAUCUUCUCUGAAUUCUUUUAUGUAUGAUUGAGUUAUCUUUGCAAGUCUCUUUGAACUAUCUGUUUGGUUUGGUCGACUAGAUUGGUAGUUCUUGCAAUGGGAGAAGUGUUUAGCUUUGGGUUCAAUCUUGCGGUGUCCUUUCCCAGUGACAUAAGGGGCAGUAAGGCACGUAUUGUAUUGUUGCCAUCGAGGAUAACAAGAUGGGGUUUUUAUCAUAUUGCAUGAAUUUGUCCCUCUACAUCAUGUCAUCUUGCUUAAGACGUUACCCUAUUUUUAACUUAAUACUCUAGAUGCAUGCUGGAUAGCGGUCGAUGAAUGGAGUAAUAGUACUAGAUGCCGAAUCGUUUCGGUCUACUUGUCUUGGACGUGAUGCCUAUAUACAUGAUCAUACCUAGAUAUACUCAUAACUAUGCUUAAUUCUGUCAAUUGCUCAACAGUAAUUUGUUCACCCACCGUAGAAUACUUAUGCUCUUGAGAGAAGCCACUAGUGAAACCUAUGGCCCCCGGGUCUAUUCUCAUCAUAUCAAUCUCCAUUACUUUAAUACUUGCUUUGUUUUUACUUUGCCUUUUACUUUUUACUUUGCAUCUCUAUAUCAAAAAUACCAAAACAUAUUAUUAUCUCUCUAUCAGAUCUCACUUUUGCAAGAGGCCGUGAAGGGAUUGACAACCCCUUUAUCGCGUUGGUUGCGAGUUCUUAGUUUGUUUGUGUAGGUGCGUGGGAAUUUUGAGGAGCCUCCUACCGGAUUGAUACCUUGGUUCUCAAAACUGAUGGAAAUACUUACGCUACACUUUGCUACAUCACCCUCUCCUCUUCGAGGAAAACCAACGCAAGCUCAAGACUUAGCAAGAAGAAUUUCUGGCGCCAUUGCCGGGGAGGUCUUCGCUCAAGUCAAGACAUACCAAGUACCCAUCACAAACCCAUCUCUCUCACAUUUACAUUAUUUUCCUCUCGUUUUCCUCUCCCCCACUUCACCCUUGCCGUUUUAUUCGCCCUCUCUUUCCCAAUCUCCUCCUCUUUUUCCCGUUGCCUUUUUCCUCGUCCGUUUGUUUGCUCGUGUGUUAGUUUUCUUGCUUGUCGUCACGACUAGUCUCAUAUCUUCUCCGUUAUCUCCUGAGAAUGAAGUUCUAAAUUUUAAGCAAAGGGAGGGAGAAAAUCUAAAAGACGCUUGGUAUAGAAUUUGCAAUGCUCAAAAUAGAUUUACCAGGAAGCAAUCUACUUCAGUUCUUCUUCGUAGUUUUUACGUAGGUGCUAAUCCUUGGUAUAGAUUUAUCCUUGAUACCAUUACCGGAGGGAAUUUCUUGGGUAGUCAUACUUUUGAUUCUUAUAAUGCUUUAAUAGAUUUAUUUGUCUCACCACCUCUUUUGAUUAAUGGAACUAUGUUAACUUUGGAGCAUGUUAUGCAAAGACUUGAAAUUAUUGAGAAUAAAGUUGCUACCAUUGAAUUAAUUGAAAAUCUUGAUAAAAAGAUCCACAAUCAAAUUACCCAAUAUGGAUCUAAGGUAGGAAUGACUUUGAAAAAUAUUAAAGAAAAAGAACCCAUAGUUAAUGAGAAAAUAAAUCUAGAUUCCACAAGAAUCGAUAAACUUGAGGGUAUCAUUACCAAUUUGGGAACCGCUUUUUCUUCCGUACAAAACACUCCAAGUUCGUCUAUUAAAAAUACUAAGCUUAUUUAUGUUCCUAAGAAUAAGGGUGAAUCAUCUAGUAAGGAGACUGCAGAUCUUAAAUCUAUAAGUGUUCAUCCCAAUCUUUUUGCCUUCAUUAAGGAACCAUUUGCUAUGAAGGAAUUUUUCGAUCUUGUGCUGAAGAAUUUGAUAAUUACUAGAAAGGAAGAAAUUUCUAAGAAAUAUAGAUGCCUCAUUGAAGAAUUGCCUACCAAAGAUGGAAAUACCUAAAUCUAUCCUUGCUUUUAUGCCUAGCUAGGGGCGUUAAACAAUAGCGCUAGUUGGGAGGCAACCCAAUUUUUCUUUUUAUUUUUUUAUUUUUGCUUCUGUUUAGGAAUAAAUAAUCCAUCUAGCCUCUGUUUAGAUGUGGUUUUAUGUUUUAAUUAGUGUUUGUGCCAAGUAGAACCUAUAGGAUAACCUACGAUGAUAGUUGAUUUGAUUCUUCUGAAAACCAUAAACUUUGCGCGCACGAAUAUAAUUUUGUUAAAUCACAGGAACGUGAUUUUGCAUUGAUGCUUUUUGCUUCUGUUCAAUAGACAAAUUGUCCAGGACUUCCUAUUUUGGUAGGAUUUUUAGAGUUACAGAAGGUUGCGUUAGUUAAAGAUUGCUACAGACUGUUCUGUUUUUGACAGAUUCUGUUUUCCGUGUGUUGUUUGCUUAUUUCAAUGCAUCUAUGGCUAGUAAAUUAGUUUAUGAACCAUAAAGAAGUUGGAAUACAGUAGGUUUAACACCAAAAUAAAUAAAGAAUGAGUUCAUGGCAGUACCUUAUGUGGUGGUUUUGUUUUCUUUCACUAACGGAGCUUACAAGAUUUCCUGUUGAGUUUUGUGUUGUGAAGUUUUCAAGUUUUGGGUAUAAUAAAAACUAUCAUAGGAAGUGAAUUGGAUGCUAUGAUCAACUUGAUACUUGAUAAUUGUUUUGAGAUAUGGAGGUAGUGAUAUUAAAGUCAUGCUAGUUGGGUGAUUAUGAAUGCAAAGAAUGCUUGUGUCGAAGUUAGCAAAUCCCUUAGCAUGCACGUAUGGUUAAAGUUGUGUAACAAAUUUGAAAUAUGAAGUGUACUUGGCGUGUGCAUCCUUAUGAGUGGCGAUCGGGGACGAGCGAUGGUCUUUUCCUACCAAUCUAUCCCCCUAGGAGCAUGUGUGUAGUAAUUGAUUUUUGAUGACUUCUAAAUUUUUGCAAUAAGUAUAUGAGUUCUUUUGACUAAUGUUGAGUCCAUGGAUUAUACGCACUUUUACCUUUCCACCUUUGCUAGCCUCUAUGGUACCGUGCAUUGCCCUUUCUCACCUUGAGAGUUGGUGCAAACUUCGCCGGUGCAUCCAAACCCCGUGAUACGAUACGCCCUAGCACACAUAAACCUCCUUAUAUCUUCCUCAAAACAGCCACCAUACCUACCUAUUAUGGCAUUUCCAUAGCCAUUCCGAGAUAUAUUGCCAUGCAACUUUCCACCGUUCCGUUCUUCAUGUUCAUGACAUACUUUACUUUUGUCAUAUUGCCAUUGCAUGAUCAUGUAGUUGACAUCGUAUUUGUGGCAAAGCCACCUUGCACUAUUUUUCAUACAUGUCACUCUUGAUUCAUUGCACCAUCCCGGUACACCGCCGGAGUCAUUCAUAUAGAGUCAUAUCUUGUUCUAGUUUCGAGUUGUAAUUCUUAUGUUGUAAUCAAUAGAAGUGUGAUGAUCAUCAUUAUUAGAACAUUGCCCAAAGAAAAAAAAAAGAAAGGCCAAAAAAAAGAAGGGAAAGGCCCAAAAAAAAGGGCAAUGUUACUAUCUCUUUUUCCACACUUGUGCUUCAAAGCAACACCUUGUUCUUCAUGUAGUGAGUCUCAUAUCUUGUGCUUCAAAGUAGAACCUUGUUUUUCAUGUAGUGAGUCUCAUAAGUUGUGUUUUUCAUACUAGUGGGAAUUUUUCAUUAUAGAACUUGGCUUGUAUAUUCCUACGAUGGGCUUCCUCAAAUGACCUAGGUCUUCAUGAGAAAGCAAGUUGUGUGCACACCCACUAGUUUUUCUUGUUGAUCAUUUGUAGCUCUAGUGCAUCCGUUGCAUGGCAAUCCCUACUCCUCAUGUUGACAUCAAUUGAUGGGCAUCUCCAUAGCCCGUUGAUUAUCCUCGUCAAUAUGAGACUUUCUCUUUUUUUGUCUUCUCCACACAAUCCCCAUCAUCAUACUCUAUUCCACCCAUAGUGCUAUAUCCAUGGCUCGCGCUCAUGUAUUGUGUGAAGGUUGAAAAAGUUUGAGAUUAUUUAAGUAUGAAACAAUUGCUUGGCUUGUCAUCGGGGGUAUAGAAGCUGGGAACAUCUUUGUGUGACGAAAAUAAAGCAUAGCCUAACUAUAUGAUUUUGUAGGGAUGAACUUUCUUUUGCCAUGUUAUUUUGAGAAGACAUGAUUACUUUGAUCAGUGUGCUUGAAGUGUUACUAUUUUUUAUGUCAAUAUGGACUUUUAUUUUGUAUUAAUUUGGAUCUGAACAUUCAUGCCACAACGAAGAAAAUUACAUUAUGAAUUAUGCUAGGUAGCAUUCCACAUCAAAAUUUCUCUUUUUAUCAUUUACCUACUCGAGGACGAGCAGGAAUUAAGCUUGGGGAUGCUUGAUACGUCUCCAACGUAUCUAUAUUUUUGAUUGUUCCAUGCUAUUAUAUUACCCCUUUUGGAUGUUUAUGGGCUUUAUUUUACACAUUUAUAUCAUUUUUUGGGACUAACCUAUUAACCAGAGGCCCAACCCAGAAUUGUUGUUUUUGCCUAUUCCAGUGUUUCAAAGAAACAUAAUAUCAAACGGAGUCCAAACGGAAUGAAACCUUCGGGAACGUGAUUUUCUCACCGAAUGUGAUCCAGGAGACUUGGACCCUGCUCCAAGGAACAAAAGAGGCGGUCACGUGGGUGGGGGGCGCCCCCCUGGCGCGCCCCCUACCUCGUGGGCCCCCUGUUGCUCCACCGACGUACUCCUUCCUCCUAUAUAUACCUACGUACCCCCGACAGAUCAAAAGGGGAGCCAAAAACCUAAUACCACCGCCGCAACUUUCUGUAUCCACGAGAUCCCAUCUUGGGGCCUAUUCUGGAGCUCCGCCGGAGGGGGCAUCCAGCACGGAGGGCUUCUACAUCAACACCAUAGCCCCUCCGAUGAAGUGUGAGUAGUUUACUUCAGACCUUCGGGUCCAUAGCUAGUAGCUAGAUGGCUUAUUCUCUAGUUUUGGAUCUCAAUACAAUGUUCUCCCCCUCUCUUGUGGAGAUCUAUUCGAUGUAAUCUUCUUUUUGCGGUGUGUUUGUUGAGACCGAUGAAUUGUGGGUUUAUGAUCCAACUUAUCUAUGAAUAAUAUUUGAAUCUUCUCUGAAUUCUUUUAUGUAUGAUUGAGUUAUCUUUGCAAGUCUCUUCGAAUUAUCCGUUUGGUUUGGCCGACUAGAUUGGUAGUUCUUGCAAUGGGAGAAGUGUUUAGCUUUGGGUUCAAUCUUGCGGUGUCCUUUCCCAGUGACAGAAGGGGCAGCAAGGCACGUAUUGUAUUGUUGCCAUCGAGGAUAACAAGAUGGGGUUUUUAUGAUAUUGCAUGAAUUUAUCCCUCUACAUCAUGUCAUCUUGCUUAAGGCGUUACUCUGUUUUUAACUUAAUACUCUAGAUGCAUGCUGGAUAGCGCUCGAUGAGUGGAGUAAUAGUAGUAGAUGCAGAAUCGUUUCGGUCUACUUGUCUUGGACGUGAUGCCUAUAUACAUGAUCAUACCUAGAUAUACUCAUAACUAUGCUCAAUUCUGUCAAUUGCUCAACAGUAAUUUGUUCACCCACCGUAGAAUACUUAUGCUCUUGAGAGAAGCCACUAGUGAAACCGAUGCCCCCUAGGUCUAUUCUCAUCAUAUGAAUCUCCAUUACUUUUAUACUUGCUUUGUUUUUACUUUGCCUUUUACUUUUUACUUUGCAUCUCUAUAUCAAAAAUACCAAAAAUACAUUAUUAUCUCUAUCAGAUCUCACUUUCGCAAGAGGUCGUGAAGGGAUUGACAACCCCUUUAUCGCGUUGGUUGCGAGUUCUCAGUUUGUUUGUGUAGGUGCGUGGGACUUUUGAGGAGCCUCCUACUGGAUUGAUACCUUGGUUCUCAAAACUGAGGGAAAUACUUACGCUACUCUUUGCUGCAUCACCCUCUCCUCUUCGAGGAAAACCAACGCAAGCUCAAGACGUAGCAAGAAGAAUUUCUGGCGCCGUUGCCGGGGAGGUCUUCGCUCAAGUCAAGACAUACCAAGUACCCAUCACAAACCCAUCUCUCUCGCAUUUACAUUAUUUGCCUCUCGUUUUCCUCUCCCCCACUUCAUCCUUGCCGUUUUAUUCGCCCUCUCUUUCCAAAUCUUCUCCUCUUUUUCCCGUUGCCUUUUUCCUCGUCCGUCUGUUUGCUCACGUGUUAGUUUGCUUGCUUGUCGUCAUGACUAGUCUCAUAUCUUCUCCUUUAUCUACCGAGAAUGAAGUUCUAAAUUUUAAGCAAAGGGAGGGAGAAAAUCUAAAAUACGCUUGGUAUAGAAUUUGCAAUGCUCAAAAUAGAUCUACCAGGAAGCAAUCUACUUCAGUUCUUGUUCGUAAUUUUUACGUAGGUGCUAAUCCUUGGUAUAGAUUUAUCCUUGAUACCAUUACCGGAGGUAAUUUCUUGGGUAGUCAUACUUUUGAUUCUUAUAAUGCUUUAAUAGAUUUAUUUGGCUCACCACCUUGAGGGAGUCCUAGAUUAGGGGGUGUCCGGAUAGCCGAACUAUCACCAUUGGCCGGAAUCCUGGACUAUGAAGAUACAAGAUUGAGGACUUCGUCCCGUGUCCGGAUGGGACUUUGCUUGGCGUGGAAGGCAAGCUUGGCGAUACGGAUAUGUAGAUCUCCUACCAUUGUAACCGACUCUGUGUAACCCUAACCCACUCCGGUGUCUAUAUAAACCGGAGGGUUUUAGUCCGUAGGACGAACAACAAUCAUACCAUAGGCUAGCUUCUAGGGUUUAGCCUCUUUGAUCUCGUGGUAGAUCUACUCUUGUACUACCCAUAUCAUCAAUAUUAAUCAAGCUGGAGUAGGGUUUUACCUCCAUCGAGAGGGCCCGAACCUGGGUAAAAACAUCGUGCCCCUUGUCUCCUGUUACCAUCCGCCUAGACGCACAGUUCGGGACCCCCUACCCGAGAUCUGCCGGUUUUGACACCGACAUUGGUGCUUUCAUUGAGAGUUCCUCUGUGUCGUCACUUUUAGGCCCGAUGGCUCCUUCGAUCAUCAACAACGACGCGGUCCAGGGUGAGACUUUUCUCCCCGGAUAGAUCUUCGUAUUCGGCGGCUUUGCACUGCGGGCCAAUUCACUUGGUCAUCUGGAGCAGAUCGAAAGCUACGCCCCUGGCCAUCAGGUCAGAUUUGGGAGUUUGAACUACAGGGCUGACAUCCGCGGAGACUUGAUCUUCGACGGAUUCGAGCCACAGCCAAGCGCGCUGCACUGUCUCGAUGGGUAUGAUCUAGCUCUGCCGCCGAACAAUGCCCUGGAGGCUGCACCAGUGUCUGCUCCGACCCUUAGCUCAGAGCCGACUUCGCCGAUCGAGGACGAGUGGCUGGACACCGCCUCGGGGGCUACGAUCUCUACGGCGAUUGAGCCGAACACCAUCCCUGUCCUUUGCAAAGCCCGUGACUCUGAGGUGCCGGACUCCUCUCCGGACUCCGAACCUCCCGCGCCCCUGCCAAUCAAAUCCGAUUGGGCGCCGCUUAUGGAGUUCACUGCCGCGGACAUCUUUCAGCACUCGCCCUUUGGCGACAUCCUGAAUUCACUAAAGUCUCUCUUUAUCAGGAGAACCCUAGCCGGACUAUGGUCAGGAAGGUUGGGAUGCGGACGAUGAAGAAAUUCUACACCCACCCACCACCCACUUUGUAGCCACUGUCGAUGAUUUAACCGACAUGCUCGACUUCGACUCCGAAGACAUCGACGGUAUGGACGACGAUGCAGGAGACAACCAAGAACCAGCGCCUACAUGGCACUGGAAGGCCACCUCGUCAUACGACAUAUACAUGGUGGACAUCCCAAAAGAUGGGAAUGGCAAUGGAACAGUGGAGGAUGACCCCUCCAAGAAACAGCCCAAGCUCCAGCGUCAGCGGCGCCGCUCUAAAUCCCGCCACAACAAAAACGGUGAUUCUGGCACGGGAGAUAAUAACACCCCAGACAGUGCCGAAGACAACUCCCUCCAGCAGGAUUCAGCACAGGAGGAGGGAGAAGCCAGCCCUCAUUAUAGAGCGGCAGACAGAGAGGUAGAGGACAAUAAUUAUAUGCCUCGCUCCGAAGAUGAAGCAAGCCUCGACGAUGAUGAAUUUGUCGUGCCCGAGGAUCCCGUCGAACAAGAGCGUUUCAAGCGCAGGCUUAUGGCCACGACAAGCAGCCUCAAGAAAAAGCAGCAGCAGCUUAGAGCUGACCAAGCCUUGCUAACUGACAGAUGGACCGAAGUCCUUACAACCGAAGAGUACAAACUCGAUCGCACCUCCAAGAGCUACCCAAAACGCAGGCUGCUACCCCAAUUAGAGGAGGAAGCACCCAAACCUACAUCACUAGCGCAUGACGCGGCCGACCGGCCACCUCGUGGCUGCGACAGAGAGGCCUCUAGAAAAGUACAAAGCCACGGGAAAAUGCGCCAGACUUGCGAGACAUAUUGGAGGACAAGGCAAGGCAAAUAAAAUCGAUCUACGGAUCGUGUGGGCACCUCACGACACGUGAUGACAACCGUCACGCCGGAUACAGCAAUUCCGGCCGGGCUGAACAUAGUAGACAAAGAUCAUUUGAGUUGCGUCAUGAUAUAGCCCAAUACAGAGGCGCCGCACACCCACUAUACUUCACAGACGAAGUAAUGAAUCAUCAAAUCCCCGAGGGUUUCAAACCCGUAAACAUUGAAUCAUACGACGGCACAACAGAUCCUGUGGUUUGCAUCGAGGACUAUCUCCUUCACAUCCACAUGGCCCGCGGUGAUGAUCUACACGCCAUGAAAUACCUCCCACUCAAGCUUAAAGGACCAGCUCGGCAUUGGCUCAACAGCUUGCCAGCAGAAUCAAUUGGUUGUUGGGAAGACCUGGAAGCCGCAUUCCUUGAUAACUUCCAGGGCACAUAUGUGCGACCACCAGACGCUGACGACCUAAGCAAAAUAAUUCAGCAGCCAGAUGAAUCGGCCAGACAAUUCUGGACAUGGUUCUUAACCAAGAAAAAUCAAAUCGUUGACUGUCCGGAUGCAGAGGCCCUUGCAGCCUUCAAACAUAACAUCCGCGACGAGUGGCUUGCCAGGCACCUAGGACAGGAAAAGCCGAAAUCCAUGGCAGCCCUCACAUCACUCAUGACCCGCUUCUGCGCGGGAGAGGACAGCUGGCUAGCUCGCAGUUACAACCUGACCAAAAACCCUGGUAGUUCGGAUACCAAGGACAACAAUGACAGGUCGUGUCGCAACAAGCACAAGCGCCGCAUUAACGGUGAUAAUGCUGAAGAUACGACAGUCAAUGCCGGAUUCAGAGGCUCUAAACCCGGUCAGCGGAAAAAGCCAUUCAAAAGAAAUACUCAGGGCCCGUCCAAUUUGGACCGAAUACUCGAUCGCUCGUGCCAGAUACAUGGCACCCCCGAAAAACCAGCCAACCACACCUACAGGGAUUGUUGGGUGUUCAAGCAGGCAGGCAAGUUAAAUGCCGAAAACAACGACAAGGGGCUGCAUAGCGAUGACGAGGAGGAGCCCCGGCCGCCGAACAAUAGAGGACAGAAGGAUUUUCCCCCACAAGUGCGGACGGUGAACAUGAUAUACGCAACCCACAUACCCAAAAGGGAGUGGAAGCGUGCACUAAGGGACGUAUACGCGAUGGAGCCAGUCGCCCCAAAGUUCAACCCGUGGUCCUCCUGCCCGAUCACUUUUGAUCGUAGGGACCACCCCACUAGCAUCCGCCACGGCGGAUUCGCCGCAUUGGUUCUUGACCCAAUCAUUGACGGAUUUCACCUCACUAGAGUCCUGAUGGACGGCGACAGCAGCCUGAACCUGCUUUACCAGGAUACAGUGCACAAAAUGGGCAUAGACCCCUCAAGGAUUAAACCCACAAAAAAGACCUUUAAAGGUGUCAUACCAGGUGUAGAGGCCAACUGUAUAGGCUCAGUUACACUCAAAGUGGUCUUCGGAUCCCCGGAUAACUUCUGAAGCGAGGAAUUAAUCUUUGACAUAGUCCCGUUCCGCAGCGGCUAUCACGCACUGCUCGGACGAACCGCAUUUGCAAACUUCAAUGCGGUGCCGCACUAUGCAUACCUCAAGCUCAAGAUGCCAGGCCCUCGAGGAGUAAUCACGGUCAAUGGAAACACCGAACGCUCUCUCCGAACGGAGGAGCAUACGGCGGCCCUCGUGGCGGAAGUACAAAGCAGCCUCUUAAGGCAAUUCUCGAGUCCGACUACUAAAUGUCUGGACACCGUCAAGCGCGCCCGAAGUAACAUACAACAAGACCGCCUGGCAUGUUCCGAGCACACGUAGCAAUGCGUCCCCAACCCCAGCCCUCGCGAAAUCGCGAGACUAGUACCACGCGUACAUAACUACGCUCUGGAGAUACCAUGGGCAUAGUGGGAGGGGCACGACCACGGCAUGCCCAGAGUGCGGCUCAACCGCACCAGGGGCUCCCAAUUGUGUAAUUCUUUUUUUUUCUUUCUUAUUCUCAGGACUCCGUUUUCCAGAAGCCCUAUCCGGCAGUAGAAUCGCCGAACUCAUGAUGCAACAACUAGGGAAGCAGAAAAGCUACGUCGAGUGUCCAGGUGCACUACUAGGGAAAAGCCUAGCAGUAGCGCGGGUUUUGGGCCUAUUAGUAGCGCGGGGGCCGGCGCUACUAAUAAGACGCUACAGCUAACUUAUAGCAGUAGCACGGGUGCCACCCACGCUACUACUACGUCCUUUAAUAGUAGCGUGGGUAAAAACCCGCGCUACUACUACCAACGCGGGUUUUUUUUGAUUUUUUUCGAAAAAAUAUUUCAAUUUUUUCCCUAUUUUUCAAAUUUUUGAAUUAUUUUAACCUCAAAUCUCUAAUCACCCCUCAUCACGGCUCAAUUUAAUCUCUAAUCACCCCUCAUCAUUCCAAAUCAUCUAACUUCCCGGACGGUCACCCAUCCUCUCACUACUCCAGCCCGAGCACGCUUAACUUCCGGGUUCUAUUCUCCCUCGUUUCCAAGUCUGCACUUGUUGUUUUCCUAACAAUAGUAAGAUGUCAAUCCUAUUAACCUCAGGAAUUUAGCUUGAGCAUGAAGUCACACAUUUCACUAUUUGAGUUUGAAACUAUUGUUCCAAAAAAAUUAGUAACACUAAUAUUUCUUGAAUAAUUAGUUUGACCACAGUUUGGCCACAGUUUGACCACAGUUUGACCACAGUUUGGCCAUAGUUUGACCACAGUUUGGCCACAGUUUGGCCAGAUUUAGUAACACAAAUAUUCUAGAAUAAUUAGUUUGACCAUUGUUUGACCACACAGUUUGAAAUUUUUUCGAUUUUUUCCACUCUAGAUCUUAAAAGCCCCGUAACUUUUUUUCUGUUUGGUUUUUGAGGAUUUUGAAAAUGUUUAACGGGGUUUCCCCGGUUAAAUUCGGAUGUAACUUUUCGAGUAGAUGAUUUUUCAUAUAAAAAACUUUUUCAUCCGAGUUAGUAUGCAAAAGUUAUGCCCAUUUUUACAAAUUCUCGAGAGAUUUUGCAAAUAAAGUCGAAAUUCAUAUUUGCAAAUUUUCCCAACAACUAGAGCACAUAUCACAUGGGAAACUUAUUUUCUUUUAUUUUUUUGACAUUUUCAUCAUUUUCUUUUAUUUUUUUAAAACUAAAAAGGCGAUCCACAAGGGGGGGGGGGUAGAGUUUGAAAAUGGGACCUUUAGUAGCAGCGUGGUUUUUUACCCCCUCGCUGCUACUAUGGCACCACUUAGUAGUAGCGAGGGCUAAAAACCAACGCUACUGCUAGCAAACUUAGUAGUAGCGCGGUUUUAAAAACCCGCGCUACUACUAUGGCAUGUCCCAGGGGGCACGGUAGAGACCGCUUAGUAGUAGCGAGGGUUAAAAACCCGCGCUACUGCUAUAAACUUAGUAGUAGCGAGGUUUAAAAACCUGUGCUACUGGUAAGUAGCAGUAGCAAGGGUUUUUAACCCUCGCUACUAGUAACUUUCUGUGUAUAGGCUUUUCCCUAGUAGUGGUGGUCUCUAUUACGAGAAGUAUACCUGUUUUACAUACCAUCCCGCAGCCUACCCCUGGAGGGGGACAUGUUAAAUAGUCCCAUCCCUUGCUUAUCGCACUAUUUGUAUCGUUCUGCUUUCAUUGCAGUAUCUUUUGAAUAAACAAUAGAUAGCUUCGGCUUAUUAUUGCAUUCCUUUUUUUCCAUAAAUGUUCAUCUAUGACAUGUUGCACCCGUACAACUUGGUACGGUCAAUACACCAGGAGCUUAAGUACCCCAAAACAUGGUGUGAUAAGUCCGAACACUUUCACAAGUGCGGCACCCCGAACUUAUAGCAUUAUAUGCAUCGGCUCCGAAUCAUGUCUUGGGUCAAUAGUUGGGUUUGCCCGACUCCCAUGUUUUGGUACCUUACGUUCCGUUAUAUCGGCUAAGGUAGCGCUGGGAGAACCACUGUGAUUGUGCCCCAGUUGAGCUGGGUUGAGAACCUCAGUGGAGAAAGCUAAAACUGACCGUCAUGAUAGGGCGAGAGCCGGUCGCUGUUCGAGAGGUUUUUUGGGUCCCUAAAGACUCAUGCCGCUUAGAGCGAGGAGUCGGCAUUGUCCGGCCAAGCGUGGAUAGCGCCCCGAACUCGGUCUUCCGAAUACCAGGGGCGUCGCCGAAAUUUAAAAUUAUAGAAUUCUAUGGCUAAGUGAGAGUGUUCAAGCAUUAUAGUCCGGUUGCCUCGUUCGUCGUGUUGAACGCCUCCCUCGAAGGACCCAAGAAUGGGAACAAGAGCGCUCAAGUUUAUCCCGAACACCCCAGCACUCGUGGCAUGGGGGCUGAAGCCAACGACUCGCCAUCUCUCAAAUUUGAUAAACGGCCGCACAGAAGGUAAUAUUUUAAAUUAACAAGCAUUGCUUAGCACAUAUGAACAAAGUUUUCAGCGUACAGGAUAACAAAUGUUAGUCUACUCAAAAAUUACAUCUUUGGAGCAUUCACCCGCUAUAAGGCGGGCACCCUUCAGGACACCCUCAUAGUACAUCUUGGGCUUGCGUUACUCCUUCCCCGGCGGUGGCGCGUCCGUCACAAGCUGCUCGGCGUCCAUCUUGCCCCAGUGCACUUUAGCACGGGCAAGGGCCCGACGGGCACCUUUAAUGCAGAUGGAGCGCUUGAUGACUUCGAUCCAUGGACAGGCGUCCACCAGCUGCCGCACUAGACCGAAGUAGCUCCUAGGCAUGGCUUCUUUAGGCCACAACCGAACUAUGAGGCCCUUCAUGGCCUGUUCGGCCACCUUGUGGAGCUCGACCAGCUGCUUCAGCUGGUCGCUCAGGGGCACCGGAUGUCCGGCCUCAGCAUAUUGAGACCAGAACACCUUUUCCGUUGAGCUCCCCUCCUCGGCUCAGUAGUAUGUGGCAGCAUCGGACACACUACGGGGCAGAUCUGCGAACACUCCUGGAGAGCUCCGGAUUCGGGUAAGUAACAAAUAAUUCACUUUUACAUGCUUGCUUUGCAUAUAGAAUGCAUUACCGCCGCUAUCUUUUUUAUCGCCUCAAUCUCCUGGAGGGCCUUCUAGGCUUCGGCCUUAGCGGCUUUGGCACUCUCAAGAGCCAAGGCGAGCUCGGACUCUCGAGUCUUCGAGUCACGCUCCAAACUCUCAUGUUUUUCCACGAGAGCCUGGAGCUCUUGCCGCACCUCCGCCACCCGCGCCUCCUGCUUCUCUCGCUCGGUGCGCUCCGUGCCGCACUAUUUUCGGCCUUGGACACCGCUUCCUUCAGGGUCGCCACCUCGUUCGUGGCCCCUGCAAUACUCACGUUAUUCCUGUCAUUUUUUGCAACCAAAUCCUUUCUAUAAGGUAUUACUUUAAUAAGGUAUUACUUACCUUCCUUGUCCUCGAGCUGCUUCUUGGCAAGGCCGAGCUCGUUCUCGGACCGCUCAAGGCUCUCCUUCAAUGCAUUGACCUUCGCAGUCAGUGCGGUAGAGGUCAGCAGCGCAGCCUGCAUUCCCAUAUUGACAUAUUUAUGUUAGACUCCUGCGUAUAUCUUUUUAGAUCCUCAGCUCGGCUUUUCUUUCCGAACACCAAACUAAGCAUCAGGGGCUACUGUCUAUGCGGUAACAUUCUUACAUAUCUUAAAAACUUACCUCAAAGCCUGUUAGAAGGCUGGUACAGGCUUCAGUCAGCCCGCUCUUGGCGGACUGAACUUUCUGGAUCACCGCACUCAUGAUAAUGCGGUGCUCCUCGUCGAUGGAGGCACCAUUAAGCGCCUCCAGCAAGCUAUCUGGUGCCUUCGGUUGGACAGAGGCCACCGGCAUCGCAGUCUUGCCCUUCUUACGAAGGGGCCGCCUGCAGGACUCCGGAACCACUGAAGGUUCCGGUGCGGAGUUCGGCCCUGGGCCGGACUUAGAACCCCUUGGGGUUUGAUCCCCCUUAUGCCCAAAGUCCGGGAGGUUGCCUUGCGGCACCUCCGGGACCUCCUCCUCCUGGCUGGGCCCCUUUUGGGACCCCACCUCGGCGUCAUCAGCAGCGCAAGGAGAGGAGGCGGCCAGAAGUGAAGUGCUAUUCACGUCCGAUGGAGCCAGGGAGCCGCUCGUUGAAAUGUCGAGCCCGUCCUUGGGCGGGCUGCAGGGUUGUAUUCGGCGUUAGGAGAUUCUAUGCGACAAACGAAACGCCAUGAAUUAUUCUGGUAUCCAGACACUUACGAUGUCGCCAGGGGCUUAGCCCUCGGUGGACACUCCUCUUUGCCGUCGUCGGCAUUGGUGGAGUAGUCCGGAGGAAGGGUCCUUCCCUUCUUGGACCCUCCAGCCUCCCGAGUUGGGGAGGCCUUCCUUUUCUUCUCUCUCCCCGCUGGGGGAGAAGCCUUUUUUUCUCCUCCUCGUCUUCGCGGGAGGAGUCCGCCUCAGAGUCAUCGAACAAUGAGUCCGAUAACACCUGACGCCGGGAACUCUUUCGGGUUCCCGUGGCCUUCUUCUUGUCCUUCUUAUCCGGCACCAUGUGUGGUGCCGGAACCAGCAGCCCCGUCAAUCGGGUGUCCGCUGGGUCUUCUGGUGAGGGAGCCGGACAGUUAACCUGCCCGGACUUCUUCUGCCAGGCCUGUCAAAGGUAAGGGAGUUUAGAUCCCGCAUAGAGUCAAACUAUGAAAAACAAGUGUCCUGUAAAGGGUAAAAUAGCUUACCUCGCCGGCUUGCUGCUGCGAGCUGAAUCCGCGAUCUUCGGUAGCGGUGCGGGAGCCUUGACGCCCUUGAACAACACCUUCCAGGCAUCUUCGUACGUAGUGUCGAAGAGCCUGCUCAAGGUUUGGUGUUGUGCCGGAUCAAACUCCCACAAGUUGAAGGCCCAUUGUUGGCACGGGAGGAUCCGGUGGAUGAGCAUGACCUGGACUACGUUGACGAGCUUGAUCUUCUUGUUCACAAGGUUUUGGACGCAGGUUUGGAGUCCGGUCAGCUCUUCCAAAUCACCCCAUGUCAGGCCCUUCUCUUUCCAGGAGGUGAGCCGUGUGGGGAUGCCAGAUCGGAAUUCGGGGGCCGCUGCCCAUUCAGGGUCAUGCAGCUCGGUGAUGUAGAACCACCCUGAUUGCCACCCUUUGAUGGUUUCCAUGAAGGAGCCCUCGAGCCAUAUGACAUUGGGCAUCUUGCCCACCAUGGCGCCUCCACACUCCGCCUGCAGGCCGCCCACUACCUUCGGCUUGACAUUGAAGGUCUUCAGCCAUAAGCCGAAGUGGGGCUUGAUGCGGAGGAAGGCCUCGCACACAAGGAUAAACGCUGAGAUGUUGAGGAUGAAAUUCGGGGCCAGAUCGUGGAAAUCCAGGCCGUAGUAGAACAUGAGCCCUCGGACAAAUGGGUGGAGUGGGAAGCCCAGUCCGCGGAGGAACUGGGGAAGGAACACCACCCUCUCAUGGGGCCUGGGGGUGAGGACGAGCUGCCCCUCAUCUGGAAGCCGGUGCGCAAUGUCGUUGUGCAGGUAUCCGGCCUUCCUCAACUUUUUGAUGUGCCCCUCCAUGACGAAGGAGGCCAUCCACUUGCCUCCCACUCCGGACAUGGCUGGGGAAGGUUGAGGCGAGAUGUGCGGACUUGGGCACUGGAGCUCGAGUGCGCGGAAAUGGAUAAGCAAAGGAGGAAGAAGGCGUAGGUAAAAAGGUGGAUCCUUAUCCCCUUAUAUGGACGGACGAAACUAUGCGUCCCCACUAGCCUGGUAAAACUCGCUUAUCUCCCAAGCGGUGUAAUCAAUGGCGCGGUUGGACUACCCACGCCCGUAUUGAUGAGAAUCCCGGAAUAAGGGGGCACGAUCUCCGCUUUGAUAAGACGUGCCAAGGAAACCGCCUCGCUAAACACGCUGAGGUGGGACAGUAAAAACGAUUCCAAUAAAGGCUUGGCCGUGGUGUGACGUCACGCCAGAGAAUACGUCAACAGAUUGAAUUUGUGUAAAGAUUAUUCUCUCUAUGGUUGGAAGUCGAAGGAGGAACCCGCCUUGCAAUGUCGAAGACAAUAUGCGCGCCGGACUCGUCGUCAUUGAAGCCUGGUUCAGGGGCUACUGAGGGAGUCCUGGAUUAGGGGGUGUCCGGAUAGCCGAACUAUCACCAUUGGCCGGACUCCCGGACUAUGAAGAUACAAGAUUGAAGACUUCGUCCUGUGUCCGGAUGGGACUUUCCUUGGCAUGGAAGGCAAGGUUGGCGAUACGGAUAUGUAGAUCUCCUACCAUUGUAACCUAGUCUGUGUAACCCUAACCCUCUUCGGUGUCUAUAUAAACCGGAGGGUUUUAGUCCGUAGGACGAACAACAAUCAUACCAUAGGCUAGCUUCUAGGGUUUAGCCUCUUCGAUCUCGUGGUAGAUCUACUCUUGUACUACCCAUAUCAUCAAUAUUAAUCAAGCAGGAGUAGGGUUUUACCUCCAUCGAGAGGGCCCAAACCUGGGUAAAAACAUCGUGCCCCUUGUCUCCUGUUACCAUCCGCCUAGACGCACAACUCGGGACCCCCUACCCGAGAUCCGCCGGUUUUGACACCGACACACCUCUUUUGAUUAAGGGAACUAUGUUAACUUUGGAGCAUGUUAUGCAAAGACUUGAAAUUAUUGAGAAUAAAGUUGCUACCAUUGAAUUAAUUGAAAAUCUUGAUAAAAAGAUCCACAAUCAAAUUACCCAAUAUGGAUCUAAGGUAGGAAUGACUUUGAAAAAUAUUAAAGAAAAAGAACCCAUAGUUAAUGAGAAAAUAAAUCUAGAUUCCACAAAAAUCGAUAAACUUGAGGGUAUCAUUACCAAUUUGGGAACCGCUUUUUCUUCCGUACAAAACACUCCAAGUUCAUCUAUUAAAAAUACUAAGCUUAUUGAUGUUCCUAAGAAUAAGGGUGAAUCAUCUAGUAAGGAGACUGCGGAUCCUAAAUCUAUAAGUGUUCAUCCCAAUCUUUUUGCCUUCAUUAAGGAACCAUUUGCUAUGGAUGAAUUUUUCGACCUUCUACCUAAGAAUUUGAUAAUUACUAGAAAGGAAGAAAUUUCUAAGAAAGAUAGAUGCCUCAUUGAAGAAUUGCCUACCAAAGAUGGCAAUACCUAAAUCUAUCCUUGCUUUUAUGCCUAGCUAGGGGCGUUAAACGAUAGCGCUAGUUGGGAGGGAACCCAAUUUUUCUUUUUGUUUUUUUGUUUUUGCUUCUGUUUAGGAAUAAAUAAUCCAUAUAGCCUCUGUUUAGAUGUGGUUUUAUGUUUUAAUUAGUGUUUGUGCCAAGUAGAACCUAUAGGAUAACCUACGAUGAUAGUUGAUUUGAUUCUGCUGAAAAACAGAAACUUUGCACGCACGAAUAUAAUUUUGUUAAAUCACAGGAACGUGCUUUUGCAUUGAUUCUUUUUACUGCUGUUCAAUAGACAAAUUGUCCAGGACUUCCUAUUUUGGUAGGAUUUUUAGAGUUGCAGAAGUUUGUGUUAGUUACAGAUUCCUACAGACUGUUCUGUUUAUGACAGAUUCUGUUUUCCGUGUGUUGUUUGCUUAUUUCAAUGCAUCUAUGGCUAGUAAAUUAGUUUAUGAACCAUAAAGAAGUAGGAAUAAAGUAGGUUUAACACCAAAAUAAAUAAAGAAUGAGUUCAUGGCAGUACCUUAUGUGGUGGUUUUGUUUUCUUUCACUAACGGAGCUUACAAGAUUUCCUGUUGAGUUUUGUGUUGUGAAGUUUUCAAGUUUUGGGUAAAGCUUUUAUGGACUAUGGAAUAAAGGGUGGCAAGAGCCUAAGCUUGGGGAUGCCCAUGGCACCCCAAGAUAUUCAAGAGUAGCCAAAAGCCUAAUCUUGGGGAUGCCCCGGGAAGGCAUCCCCUCUUUCAUCUUCGUUCAUUGGUAACUUUACUUGGAGCUAUAUUUUUAUUCGCCACAUGAUAUGUGUUUUGCUUCGAGCGUCGUGUAUUAUAUUAGUCUUUGCUUGUUAGUUUGCCACAAUCAUCCUUGCUGUACACACCUUUUGGGAGAAGCCUAUUUGAUUAGAAUUUGCUAGAAUACUCUAUGUGCUUCACUUAUAUCUUUUGAGCUUGAUAGUUUUUGCUCUAGUGCUUCACUUAUAUCUUUUAGAGCAUGACGGUGGUGUCUUAAGUUUGAAGAAAUUGCUAGUCUCUCAUGCCUCACUUAUAUUAUUUUGAGAGUAUUUUAUAACAACAUGGUAUUUGCUAUUAUCUUAAAGUUGGUCCUAGAAUGAUGAGCAUCCAAGUUGGGUAUAAUAAAAACUAUCAUAGGAAGUGAAUUGGAUGCUAUGAUCAACUUGAUACUUGAUAAUUGUUUUGAGAUAUGGAGGUAGUGAUAUUAAAGUCAUGCUAGUUGGGUGAUUAUGAAUUCAAAGAAUGCUUGUGUUGAAGUUAGCAAAUCCCUUAGCAUGCGCGUAUGAUUAAAGUUGUGUAACAAAUUUGAAACAUGAAGUGUACUUGGCUUGUGCAUCCUUAUGAGUGGCGGUCGGGGACGAGCGAUGGUCUUUUCCUACCAAUCUAUCCCCCUAGGAGCAUGCGCAUAGUACUUGAUUUUUGAUGACUUUUUGCAAUAAGUAUAUGAGUUCUUUUGACUAAUGUUGAGUCCAUGGAUUAUACACACUUUUACCUUUCCACCUUUGCUAGACUCUAUGGUACCGUGCAUUGCCCUUUCUCACCUUGAGAGUUGGUGCAAACUUCACCGGUGCAUCCAAACCCCGUGAUACGAUACGCUCUAUCACACAUAAACCUCCUUAUAUCUUCCUCAAAACAGCCACCAUACCUACCUAUUAUGGCAUUUCCAUAGCCAUUCCGAGAUAUAUUGCCAUGAAACUUUCCACCGUUCCGUUCUUCAUGUUCAUGACAUACUUUACUUUUGUCAUAUUGCCAUUGCAUGAUCAUGUAGUUGACAUCGUAUUUGUGGCAAAGCCACCUUGCACUAUUUUUCAUACAUGUCACUCUUGAUUCAUUGCACCAUCCCGGUACACCGCCGGAGGCAUUCAUAUAGAGUCAUAUCUUUUUCUAGUUUCGAGUUGUAAUUCUUAUGUUGUAAUCAAUAGAAGUGUGAUGAUCAUCAUUAUUAGAACAUUGCCCAAAGAAAAAAAAGAAAGGCCAAAAAGAAAAGAAAAAAAGGGAAAGGCCCAAAAAAAGGGCAAUGUUACUAUCUCUUUUUCCACACUUGUGCUUCAAAGCAGCACCUUGUUCUUCAUGUAGUGAGUCUCAUAUCUUGUGCUUCAAAGUAGAACCUUGUUUUUCAUGUAGUGAGUCUCAUAAGUUGUGUUUUUCAUACUAGUGGGAAUUUUUCAUUAUAGAACUUGGCUUGUAUAUUCCUACGAUGGGCUUCCUCAAAUGACCUAGGUCUUCAUGAGAAAGCAAGUUCGGUGCACACCCACUAGUUUUUCUUUGUUGAGCAUUUGUAGCUCUAGUGCAUCCGUUGCAUGGCAAUCCCUACUCCUCAUGUUGACAUCAAUUGACAGGCAUCUCCAUAGCCCGUUGAUUAUCCUCGUCAAUAUGAGACUUUAUCUUUUUUUGUCUUCUCCACACAAUCCCCAUCAUCAUACUCUAUUCCACCCAUAGUGCUAUAUCCAUGGCUCGCGCUCAUGUAUUGCGUGAAGGUUGAAAAAGUUUGAGAUUAUUUAAGUAUGAAACAAUUGCUUGGCUUGUCAUCGGGGGUAUAGAAGUUGGGAACAUCUUUGUGUGACGAAAAUGAAGCAUAGCCUAACUAUAUGAUUUUGGAGGGAUGAACUUUCUUUUGCCAUGUUAUUUUGAGAAGACAUGAUUACUUUGAUCAGUGUGCUUGAAGUGUUACUAUUUUUUAUGUCAAUAUGAACUUUUAUUUUGUAUUCAUUUGGAUUUGAACAUUCAUGCCACAACGAAGAAAAUUACAUUAUGAAUUAUGCUAGGUAGCAUUCCACAUCAAAAAUUCUCUUUUUAUCAUUUACCUACUCGAGGACGAGCAGGAAUUAAGCUUCGGGAUGCUUGAUACGUCUCCAACGUAUCUAUAAUUUUUGAUUGUUCCAUGCUAUUAUAUUACCCCUUUUGGAUGUUUAUGGGCUUUAUUUUACACAUUUAUAUCAUUUUUUUGGGACUAACCUAUUAACCAGAGGCCUAGCCCAGAAUUGCUGUUUUUGCCUAUUUCAGUGUUUCGAAGAAACAUAAUAUCAAACGGAGUCCAAAUGGAAUGAAACCUUAGGGAACGUGAUUUUCUCACCGAACGUGAUCCAGGAGACUUGGACCCUGCUCCAAGGAACAAAAGAGGCGGUCACGAGGGUGGGGGGCGUCCCCCUGGGCGCGCCCCCCUACCUCGUGGGCCCCCUGUUGCUCCACCGACGUACUCCUUCCUCCUAUAUAUACCUACGUACCCCCGACAGAUCAAAAGGGGAGCCAAAAACCUAAUUCCACCGCCGCAACUUUCUGUAUCCACGAGAUCCCAUCUUGGGGCCUGUUCCGGAGCUCCGCCGGAGGGGGCAUCCACCAUGGAGGGCUUCUACAUCAACACCAUAGCCCCUCCGAUGAAGUUUGAGUAGUUUACUUCAGACCUUCGGGUCCAUAGCUAGUAGCUAGAUGGCUUCUUCUCUAUUUUUGGAUCUCAAUACAAUGUUCUCCCCCUAUCUUGUGGAGAUCUAUUCGAUGUAAUCUUCUUUUUGCGGUGUGUUUGUUGAGAUCGAUGAAUUGUGGGUUUAUGAUCCAGUUUAUCUAUGAAUAAUAUUUGAAUCUACUCUGAAUUCUUUUAUGUAUGAUUGAGUUAUCUUUGCAAGUCUCUUCGAACUAUCUGUUUGGUUUGGUCGACUAGAUUGGUAGUUCUUGCAAUGGGAGAAGUGUUUAGCUUUGGGUUCAAUCUUGUGGUGUCCUUUCCCAGUGACAGAAGGGGCAGCAAGGCACGUAUUGUAUUGUUGCCAUCGAGGAUAACAAGAUGGUUUUUUUUACCAUAUUGCAUGAAUUUAUCCCUCUACAUCAUCUCAUCUUGCUUAAGGCGUUACUCUGUUUUUAACUUAAUACUCUAGAUGCAUGCUGGAUAGCGGUCGAUGAGUGGAGUAAUAGUAGUAGAUGCAGAAUUGUUUUGGUCUACUUUUCUUGGACGUGAUGCCUAUAUACAUGAUCAUACCUAGAUAUAGUCAUAACUAUGCUCAAUUCUGUCAAUUGCUCAACAAUAAUUUGUUCACCCACCGUAGAAUACUUAUGCUCUUGAGAGAAGCCACUAGUGAAACCUAUGCCCCCUGGGUCUAUUCUCAUCAUAUCAAUCUCCAUUACUUUUAUACUUGCUUUAUUUUUUACUUUGCCUUUUACUUUUUACUUUGCAUCUCUAUAUCAAAAAUACCAAAAAUAUAUUAUUAUCUCUCUAUCAGAUCUCACUUUCGCAAGAGGUCGUGAAGGGAUUGACAACCCCUUUAUCGCGUUGGUUGCGAGUUCUCAGUUUGUUUGUGUAGGUGCGUGGGACUUUUGAGGAGCCUCCUACUGGAUUGAUACCUUGGUUCUCAAAACUGAGGGAAAUGCUUACGCUACACUUUGCUGCAUCACCCUCUCCUCUUCGAGGAAAACCAACGCAAGCGCAAGACGUAGCAAGAAGAAUUUCUGGCGCCGUUGCCGGGGAGGUCUUCGCUCAAGUCAAGACAUACCAAGUACCCAUCACAAACCCAUCUCUCUCGCAUUUACAUUAUUUUCCUCUCGUUUUCCUCUCCCCCACUUCACCCUUGUCGUUGUAUUCGCCCUCUCUUUCCCAAUCUCCUCCUCUUUUUCCUGUUGCCUUUUUCCUCGUCCGUCUGUUUGCUCGCGUGUUAGUUUGCUUGCUUGUCGUCAUGACUAGUCUCAUAUCUUCUCCUUUAUCUCCCGAGAAUGAAGUUCUAAAUUUUAAGCAAAGGGAGGGAGAAAAUCUAAAAGACGCUUGGUAUAGAAUUUGCAAUGCUCAAAAUAGAUCAACCAGGAAGCAAUCUACUUCAGUUCUUCUUCGUAAUUUUUACGUAGGUGCUAAUCCUUGGUAUAGAUUUAUCCUUGAUACCAUUACCGGAGGGAAAUUUAUUGGGUAGUCAUACUUUUGAUUCUUAUAAUGCUUUAGUAGAUUUAUUUGGCUCACCACCUUGAGGGAGUCCUGGAUUAGGGGGUGUCCGGAUAGCCGAACUAUCACCAUUGGCCGGACUCCCGGACUAUGAAGAUACAAGAUUGAAGACUUCGUCCCGUAUCUGGAUGGGACUUUCCUUGGCGUGGAAGGCAAGCUUGGCGAUACGGAUAUGUAGAUCUCCUACCAUUGUAACCGACUCUGUGUAACCCUAACCCUCUCCGGUAUCUAUAUAAACCGGAGGGUUUUAGUCCGUAGGACGAACAACAAUCAUACCAUAGGCUAGCUUCUAGGGUUUAGCCUCUUUGAUCUCGUGGUAGAUCUACUCUUGUACUACCCAUAUCAUCAAUAUUAAUCAAGUAGGAGUAGGGUUUUACCUCCAUCGAGAGGGCCUGAACCUAGGUAAAAACAUCGUGCCCCUUGUCUCCUGUUACCAUCCUCCUAGACGCACAGUUCGGGACCCCCUACCCGAGAUCCGCCGGUUUUGACACCGACAUUGGUGCUUUCAUUGAGAGUUCCUCUGUGUCGUCACUUUUAGGCCCGAUGGCUCCUUCGAUCAUCAACAACGACGCGGUCCAGGGUGAGACUUUUCUCCCCGAAUAGAUCUUCGUAUUCGGCGGCUUUGCACUGCGGGCCAAUUCAAUUGGCCAUCUGGAGCAGAUCAAAAGCUACGCCCCUGGCCAUCAAGUCAGAUUUGGGAGUUUGAACUACACGGCUGACAUCCGCGGAGACUUGAUCUUCGACGGAUUCAAGCCACAGCCAAGCGAGCCACACUGUCUCGAUGGGUAUGAUCUAGCUCUGCCGCCGAACAGUGCCCUGGAGGCCGCACCAGCGUCCGCUCCAACCCUUAGCUCGGAGCCGACUUCGCCGAUCAAGGACGAGUGGAUGGACACCGCCUCGGGGGCUACGAUAUCUACAGCGAUUGAGCCGAACACCAUCCCUGUCCUUUGCAAAGCCCGUGACUCCGAGGUGCCGGACUCCUCUCCGGAAUCCGAACCUCCCGCGCCCCUGCCAAUCAAAUCCGAUUGGGCAUCGGUUAUGGAGUUCACUGCCGCAGACAUCUUUCAGCACUCACCCUUUGGCGACAUCCUGAAUUCACUAAAGUCUCUCUCUUUAUCAGGAGAACCCUAGCCGGACUAUGGUCAGGAAGGUUGGGAUGCGGACGACGAAGAAAUUCUACGCCCACCCACCACCCACUUUGUAGCCACUGUCGAUGAUUUAACCGACAUGCUCGACUUCAACUCCGAAGACAUCGAUGGUAUGGACGACGAUGCAGGAGACAACCAAGAACCAGCGCCUACAGGGCACUGGAAGGCCACCUCAUCAUACGACAUAUACAUGGUGGACAUCCCAAAGGAUGGGAAUGGCAAUGGUACAGCGGAGGAUGACCCCUCCAAGAAACAGCCCAAGCGCCGGCGUCAGCGGCGCCGCUCUAAAUCCCGCCACAACAAAAAUGGUGAUUCUGGCACGGGAGAUAAUAACACCCUAGACAGUGCCGAAGACAACCCCCUCCAGCAGGAUUCAGCACAGGAGGAGGGAGAAGCCAACCCUCAUUAUAGAGCGGCAGACAGAGAGGUAGAGGACGAUAAUUAUAUGCCUUCCUCCGAAGAUGAAGCAAGCCUCGACGACGACGAAUUUGUCGUGCCCAAGGAUCCCGUCGAACAAGAGCAUUUCAAGCGCAUGCUUAUGGCCACGCCAAGCAGCCUCAAGAAAAAGCAGCAGUAGCUUAGAGCCGACCAAGACUUGCUAACUGACAGAUGGACCGAAGUCCUUGCAGCCAAAGAGUACAAACUCGAUCGCACCUCCAAGAGCUACCCAAAACGCAGGCUACUACCCCAAUUAGAGGAGGAAGCACCAAAACCUACAUCACUAGUGCAUGACGCGGCCGACCGGCCACCUCGUGGCCGCGACAGAGAGGCCUCUAGGUCCUCCACUAAAGCCGCACCCUGGCGUCGCUCGAAAAGUACAAAGCCACGGGGAAAUGCGCCAUACUUGUGAGACAUAUUGGAGGACAAGGCAAGGCAAAUAACAUCGAUCUACGGAUCGCGUGGGCGCCCCACGACAUGUGAUGACAACCGUCACGCCGAAUACAGCAAUUCCAGCCAGGCCGAACACAGUAGACAAAGCUCAUUUGAGCUACAUCAUGAUAUAGCCCAAUACAGAGGCGCCGCACACCCACUAUGCUUCACAGACCAAGUAAUGGAUCAUCAAAUCCCCGAGGGUUUCAAACCCGUAAACAUUGAAUCAUACGACGGCAUAACAAAUCCUGCGGUUUGGAUCGACGACUAUCUCCUUCACAUCCACAUGGCCCGCGGUGAUGAUCUACACGCCAUCAAAUACCUCCCACUCAAGCUUAAAGGACCAGCGCGGCAUUGGCUCAACAGCUUGCCAGCAGAAUCAAUUGGUUGUUGGGAAGACCUGGAAGCCACAUUCGUUGAUAACUUCCAGGGCACAUAUGUGCGACGACCAGAAGCUGAUGACCUAAGCCACAUAAUUCAGCAGCCAGAUGAACCGGCCAGACAAUUCUGGACACGGCUCUUAACCAAGAAAAAUCAAAUCAAUGACUGUUCAGAUGCAGAGGCCCUUGCAACCUUCAAACAUAACAUCCGCGACGAGUGGCUUGCCCGGCACCUAGGACAAGAAAAGCCAAAAUCCAUGGCAGCCCUCACAUCACUCAUGACCCGCUUCUGCGUGGGAGAGGACAGCUGGCUAGCUCGCAGUAACAACCUGACUAAAAACCCUGGUAGUUCGGAUACCAAGGACAGCAAUGGCAGGUCACGUCGCAACAAGCACAAGCACCGCAUUAACGGCGAUAAUGCUGAAGAUACGGCAGUCAAUGCCGGAUUCAGAGGCUCUAAACCCGGUCAGCGGAAAAAGCCGUUCAAAAGAAAUACUCACGGCCCGUCCAAUUUGGACCGAAUACUCGAUCGCUCGUGCCAGAUACAUGGCACCCCCGAAAAACCAACCAACCACACCUACAGGGAUUGUUGGGUGUUCAAGCAGGCAGGCAAGUUAAAUGCCGAAAACAACGACAAGGGGCUGCAUAGCGAUGACGAGAAGGAGCCCCGACCGCCGAACAAUAGAGGACAGAAGGGUUUUCCCCCACAAGUGCGGACGGUGAACAUGAUACACGCAACCCACAUACCCAAAAGGGAGCGGAAGCAUGCACUAAGGGACGUAUACGCGAUGGAGCCAGUCGCCCCAAAGUUCAACCCGUGGUCCUCCUGCCCGAUCACUUUUGAUCGAAGGGACCACCCCACUAGCAUCCGCCACGGCGGAUUCGCCGCAUUGGUUCUUGACCCAAUCAUUGACGGAUUUCACCACACUCGAGUCCUGAUGGACGGCGGCAGCAGCCUGAACUUGCUUUACCAGGAUACAGUGCGCAAAAUGGGCAUAGACCCCUCAAGGAUUAAACCCACAAAAACGACCUUUAAAGGCGUUAUACCAGGUGUAGAGGCCAACUGUACAGGCUCAGUUACACUCGAAGUGUUCUUCGGAUCCCCGGAUAACUUUUGAAGCGAGGAAUUAAUCUUUGACAUAGUCCCGUUCCGCAGCGGCUAUCACGCACUGCUCAGACGAACCGCAUUUGCAAAGUUCAAUGCGGUGCCGCACUACGCAUACCUCAAGCUCAAGAUGCCAGGCCCUCGAGGAGUAAUCAUGGUCAAUGGAAACACCGAAUGCUCUCUCCGAACGGAGGAGCAUACGGUGGCCCUCGCGGCGGAAGUACAAAGCAGCCUCUUAAGGCAAUUCUCGAGUCCGACUACUAAACGUCCGGACACCGUCAAGCGCGCCCGGAGUAACCUACAACAAGACCGCCUGGCACGUUCCGAGCACGCGUAGCAAUGCGGCCCAAACCCCAGCCCUCACGAAAUCGCGAGACCAGUACCACGCGUACAUAACUACGCUCUGGAGAUACCAUGGGCAUAGGGGAAGGGGCACGACCACGGCAUGCCCAGAGUGCGGCUCAACCGCACCAGGGGCUCCCAAUUGUGUCAUUCUUUUUUUCUUUCUUAUUCUCAGGACUUCGUUUUCCAGAAGCCCCGUCCAGCAGUAGAAUCGCCGAACUCACGAUGCAACAGCCAGGGAAGCAGAAAAGCUACGUCGAGUGUCCAGGUGGUCUCUAUUACAAGCAGUAUACCUGUUUUACAUACCAUCCCGCAGCCUACCCCUGGAGGGCGACAUGUUAAAUAGUCCCAUCCCUUGCUUAUUGCACUAUUUGUAUCAUUCUUCUUUCAUUGCAGUAUCUUUUGAAUAAACAAUACAUAGCUUCUGCUUAUUAUUGCAUUCCUUUUUUUUCAUAAAUGUUCAUCUAUGACAUGUUGCACCCGUACAACUUGGUACGGUCAAUACACCAGGGGCUUAAGUACCCCAAAACAUGGUGUGAUAAGUCCGAACACUUUCACAAGUGCGGCACCCCGAACUUAUAGCAUUAUAUGCAUCGGCUCCGAAUCAUGUCUUGGGUCAAUAGUUGGGUUUGCCCGGCUCCCAUGUUUUGGUACCUUACGUUCUGUUAUAUCGGCUAAGGUAGCGCUGGGAGAACCACUGCGAUUGUGCCCCGGUUGAGCUGGGUUGAGCACCUCAGUGGAGAAAGCUAAAACUGACCGUCAUGAUAGGGCGAGAGCCGGUCGCUGUUCGAGAGGUUUUUCGGGUCCCUAAAGACUCAUGCCGCUUAGAGCGAGGAGUCGGCAUUGUCCGGCCAAGCGUGGAUAGCGCCCCUAACUCGGUCUUCUGAAUACCAGGGGCUUCGCCGAAAUUUAAAAUUAUAGAAUUCUAUGGCUAAGUGAGAGUGUUCAAGCAUUAUAGUCUGGUUGCCUCGUUCGUCGUGUUGAACGCCUCCCUCGAAGGACCCAAUAAUGGGAACAAGAGCGCUCAAGUUUAUCCCGAACACCCCAGCAAACGUGGCAUGGGGGCUGAGCCAACGACUCGCCAUCUCUCAAAUUUGAUAAACGGCCGCAUAGAAGGUAAUAUUUUAAAUUAACAAGCGUUGCUUAGCGCAUAUGAACAAAGUUUUCAGCAUACAGGAUAACAAAUGUGAGUCUACUAAAAAAUUACAUCUUUGGAGCAUUCACCCGCUAUAUGGCGGGCACCCUUCAGGACGCCCUCAUAGUACAUCUCAGGCUUGCGAUACUCCUUGCCCGGCGGUGGCGCGUCCAUCACAAGCUUCUCGGCGUCCAUCUUGCCCCAGUGCACUUUAGCACGGGCAAGGGCCCGACGGGCACCUUCAAUGCAGACGGAGCGCUUGAUGACUUCGAUCCAUGGACAGGCGUCCACCAGCUGCCGCACUAGACCGAAGUAGCUCCUAGGCAUGGCUUCUUUAGGCCACAACCGAACUAUGAGGCCCUUCAUGGCCUGUUCGGCCACCUUGUGGAGCUCGACCAGCUGCUUCAGCUGGUCGCUCAGGGGCACCGGAUGUCCGGCCUCAGCAUAUUGAGACCAGAACACCUUUUCCGUCGAGCUCCCCUCCUCAGCUCGGUAGAACGCGACAGCAUCGGACACACUACGAUGCAGAUCUGUGAACGCCCCUGGAGAGCUCCGGAUUCGGGUAAGUAACAAAUAAUUCACUUUUACAUGCUUGCUUUGCAUAUAGAAUGCCUUACCCGCCACUAUCUUUUUUAUUGCCUCAAUCUCCUGGAGGGCCUUCUGGGCUUCGGCCUUAGCGGCUUUGGCACUCUCACGUAUAUUGUCCUUACCCUUCACGUAUUUGGGUAUACCAAUCCACCAUCGCAAGCUUUCAUACAGAACCAUUUUUUAUUGUCUUUUUUCGAAGUACCAGUUGGAGUAUGGAAAAAGGCUAGAUUUCUAUCGAUCACACUUCUUUUGGCAGAGUGAUGAAUUAAAAAGAAAAUAUAGACUCGCUAAGUGGGAUAUCAUUUGUAGGCCGAAAGACCAAGGGGGUCUAGUCAUUGAAAAUUUAGAGGUGAAGAACAGAUGUCUACUUAACAAAUGGCUGUAUAAGUUAUCUAUAGAGACGGACGCCACUUGGACACGGAUUCUUCGUAAUAAGUAUCUUCAUUCCAAAACUUUGUCCCAGGUGACGGUAAGCCUACUGAUUUGCCUUUUUGGAAGGGACUCAUGCGAGUGAAAUCGGCUUUUUUCAAUAGGAAAAAAUUUGUGAUUGGAAAUGGUACUUCCACAAGAUUCUGGGAGGAUACAUGGCUAGGGGAGACACCCCUUGCGAUCCAAUAUCCGUCUCUCUAUAAUAUUGUUCAGCGAAGAGACGCUUACGUUGCAACAGUACUACAGUCAACUCCUCUUAAUAUCCAAUCCAGGAGGACGCUAGUGGGAGACCGUUGGGAAGCUUAGCUCCAUCUUGUGAGAAAAUUGAUGGAUGUCCAACUUUCUCAACAGCCAGAUCAGCUACGCUGGAAACUAGCUAAGAAUGGGGAGUUUUCGGUGAAAUCCAUGUAUUUGAAUAUUAUCUACACUAGCGUGGUUCCUAAUUCGGAACAUGUUUGAAAAGUCAAAGUGCCUUUAAAAACCAAAGUGUUUAUGUGGUUUGUCCACAAACAGGUCAUCUUAACUAAAGACAAUUUGGCGAAACGAAACUUGACGGGUUCUAAAAGAUGUAGUUUUUGUUAUAGUGAUGAAUCAAUCAGACACCUCCUUCUUGAUUGUCCUCCGGCAAAGAUUUUGUGGAGGUCGGUCCACAUAGCUUUUAAUAUAACUCCUCUGAAUUCCAUCAACAGGUUUUUUGGGACUUGGCUAGAUGAGAUUGACGUAGUAACAUCGAGAUAUCCGUGUAGGAGUAUGUGCUUUACUAUGGGAAAUUUGGAACUGCAGAAACGAUUUAGUUUUUAACAAAACAACAAAUAUUCAUUUCUUGCAGGUUAUCUUCAGGGCCACUACACUCAUCUGUAUGUGAUCGCUACUCACUCCGAUGGAGGCCAGGGAGCAUUUGGUUACUGGAUCUAUCCGAUGGGAGACGGUAGCACGGGAUACCUUCAACCGAUUUGGAUGGCGGUCAUGUAAUAGGAUAGGUGUUUAGUUUCCUAUAUGUUGUUUGCCUGCCGGUUGUGGCAGUCCUGUUUUUGUUUUCGUGCUCUUUUUUGGGCACUUGUUUCUUUGUUUGAGACUGCGAGACUUUAGUUGGACCUUUUGCUUAUCAAUAAUAUGGCCGUAUGCAUCUAUCUGAUGCAGAAGCCGGGGCAAACUCCCUUUCGAAAAAAAGGAGCAGUGUUACGUAUAAUAUCUUGUGUACACUGUAUUGCUACAGAUGAUCAAAUGAAGAUAAAGCAAAGUAGCAAAACAAUGAGAAAAAUAGAGACAACGAGGACUAGCGUUUGUACGCACAUUAUGAGUUAGACCCUAGGUUUUGUCAAACUGAAUACCAAAAUCCCCUGGUUAUUUGCUCAACAUAAGAUGGGUGAAGGACAAGCCAUAUUUUAUGACAACAAAUUGCCUUGAGUUGAUACGCUGCUACCCAGAAUGCUCAGACAUAUACAGGCAACAAAAGAUUGUAUGCAGUCAAUCAAAGAUGGCCGGAGAAGUCCCUCCCAUAAAACUCUCUACUUCUGUUGAGGCCACUACCUUUGUCACCCCUGAUAACAACGAAGAGGCCAUGCAUCUCCUUCCAACUUUAUUUAAACUUUAAAGUGGUUGUUUAUCACUACUUCCCAUCAGCAGUGAAGCGACGAUAAAUACAACUGCACUCCAGAAGGCGAGAAACUAAAGAGUUUGAAGGUAUGCACAUCAGGGGAUGAAGAUAUUAUUAUCUGUGAUAUGAUUCUUGUUUUCCAUUUUGAGUUGAGUAUAUAUAUUUCCAUCCAGCUUGUUGUAUCAAUGCCAACAAGGAUAAAAGCACUGAAGCUUUUCGCGGGUUAAGUCAUGAAGGAUAUACUGCUCUAAUAUCAGAGAAGGAUGCGUUUUAAAAUAAUGAAGGUGGUAUUACAGGUCCACCAAAGAAGCCUGCUGAGGAAAAUGCUCCCAGUAGUCCAAAUGGAUUUUCUGGCAUCAAGGAAGACACAAAAUUUAACGAGUCAAGUCAAAGUGCUGAUCAUACCGAUCUUAGCACUAAGCUACCUAAAGAAUCAAAUGCUCAGUUGAAUGCAAAUGUUGACUAUCCUACUAGCCAGACUAGUUACACUGAAACAAAAGCUGGUGGCCAGGAUAGUUACCCAGAGGAGUUGACCUAUUACUAUCUGGAUCUCCAAUUUAUGGGUACUGAUAUACUCACAUGGUAUGAAGAUGGAUAUUUUGGUUUGGCUCCAGAUGAUGCUCCUUUUCACCCACUUUCUAGUCUCAUUCCAUACCUUGGACAUGAGCUGAAUCUCCACCACCAGUACCAUGCCAUGGUGGAAGUGCUGAAUCUCCGGAUUUUGUACACAACAAUUUUGAAGAUGCACAUCCUACUUCUGGUUCUUUUGGGAGAAGUGUUCAGACAUCUAGGGUGGACUUUGGAAAUUAUGCAGCCAAUCCUAAAAGAGGUGACCAAGAAGCACCGUUACAGUCACGUACCAGUUGCUCAGUUGAAGUAGUAAAGGCGGAAGCAAACCCAGAUAUUCGUCCGCAGCGUAUUCCUAAAGCUCUGGAUGGAGUUCCUCGAGAUCAUGUGGCUCUUGCAAACCGAAGAAACUUACAAGAAGCAUGGCCGUCCGUACACGUUGUCGUUGGAGUCUUCACUCGGCCGGUAGCGUUUCGCGGCAAGGGGUGGCAGACAAAUCAAGGUCACAUGGCUCUUCGCAACACCGCACAUGGACAAGUACGUGGAGCACGCCAAGAAGUUCCACAACGACUCGACGAUGCCACUGUUGUUGGCGGACGAUGACAUCGAGGAGGUCAUUGCUCUUAUGAUUAAUGCCGCCGGCAUGAACAGGAGAUGCAGAGACUGAGCUUCACCAUGGAGAACUAAUUACACUAAGCAGGCAUGUUGUCAUCGAGUUGUAUCUUUGACAUCUUGAGGUGCUAAAUUCAGCUCAGCUUCAUUAUGUUUCUUGUACAACUAACGUGGUGUCUUAGGUGUAAUGAUAGUAUUUUUAUCCUAUGCAGAUUUUUUUAUUCCUCCUGUUUAUCCUUGUCAUUGAAAAUACAUAAUGUUUUAUACAUGGAUACAUUCCUAAAUAUGAAAUGUUUACAUUUUAUUUUGUAUAUGAAUAUUCAAUUAUGCUGCUAAAAAAAUAAAAGAUGUGAAUCAAUUUUUCAAAAAUAAUCAGAAAACUGAAUUUGGUUUUAUGAAAAUUCUAGUGAUGUUGAUUUCUUUUCUUGGUAAUCUAUUUAUACGGCAUGAUGUUCAGCAAUAAGUAGACAAACUAAACUAACCAAUGAAUUUGCAUGCCUGCUAGAUCACUUGUCAUAUGCUUGCUAGUGUAGCACUGUGGCUCAAUGGCUAUAUGUUAUUUUGUACAUUGCUACAUACAGUAAUUCAUUUAUGUUUCUAUCCUCAGCAAAAUAAUAGACUUAUACAUUGAUUUUCUUGCUUGCAUAUACAACUGGAUACAAUCUUUUAUAAAAUAAAAAAAAUUAGCAGUUCCAUGAAUUACCAGCGCCACCUCGAUCCUUCAGUUAUACUCCCUCCAUUUUUAUUUAGUGUGUGUAUUAGCUUUAAUCCAGGUCAAGCUUUGUAAACUUUGACAAAAUUAUAAACAAAAAUAUUAACAUAUACAAUAAAAAAUCAAUACCAUUAAAUUUAUCAUUCAAUGUACUUUCACAUCAUAUAGAUUUGUUAUAGUAAAUGUUUCUACCACUAGUGCAGAACCGGCCUUUAGUGCCGGUUCGUAACGGCCUUUAGUGCGGGUUUGCUAACCGGCACUNNNNNNNNNNNNNNNNNNNNNNNNNNNNNNNNNNNNNNNNNNNNNNNNNNNNNNNNNNNNNNNNNNNNNNNNNNNNNNNNNNNNNNNNNNNNNNNNNNNNNNNNNNNNNNNNNNNNNNNNNNNNNNNNNNNNNNNNNNNNNNNNNNNNNNNNNNNNNNNNNNNNNNNNNNNNNNNNNNNNNNNNNNNNNNNNNNNNNNNNNNNNNNNNNNNNNUGGCACGAGCCAGACCCGUGUCCGCGUAGGACAUUAGUACCGGUUGGUAACACCAACCGGUAUUAAAUGUUUGGGGGGGUGGCUUUAUUUUCCAUUCAAUUUUUUUGCUGGUAUUUCACGGUACUACAAAUUGUACACGUUAUGCAUAUAUAUAAAUAGAUUUUCUCGUACGUAGAACCGCAUAUAUAUAUCAUCGAAUGUCUCACAACCAACACCAUUAAUUAUUCACACAUACACAUGUAUAUACAUAUACAACUUCUCCUACAUAUGUUGCCUUGGUGCCUCCGGAGCACGAUGACAAGUGGUUCAUGGGGGCGAUAGCGGGUAAUAGUAUUCUCCUUUGGGAUCUAUGACCUGGUCGAGCAAAAAUCUAGCUAUUUCCUCUUGAAGUGCUAGUAUGUGGUCCGAUGGUUGGAGCUUAUCCCGCAUCUCUCUGAACUGUUAAGAAAGAGAUCAAUAUGCAUGUGUGUUAGUUGUGUGACUAAAUAUCGAUAAUGGUGUGAAUAGUGUUCUGACAAACAUACCCAGUCCUGUCUAUCAGAUCUGCUCCUUUCAGACGCCAUCAUGCGAAUGUUCUCACAAACGUAUAAUGCACGCAGAUUAUUCCCCGGCACCUGCUUCAGGGCCUUUACGAGAAUGGAAUUGAAUCAGAUAAUGAUUAAUCAAGCAUGAUAAUUAAUUAAUGAUAUUGAAACAAGAAUUAAAGAGAUGGUAGCUAGCUAGUACUACUUAAUUACUUACCUUUGGUCGAUGCCAAAACAACUUUUUUGCCCAGUUGCCUGGAGUCACCUUGAUGAACUUUGCCCAUGCCCUGCCCGCCGGCAAAGGAAAUUAAUAAAGGGGUUAUUAAAUAGUUCAUAUCAGGAAAUGACGAACUAAUAAUAGGCCAAGAUAUAGUUAAUAAUGAUUGAAAUUACCUGUUGACUAUCCCCUUCACGAUGGUGAAGUCUUUAUCUUCUUUAGUUAGUGAGUCCAGUAAUUCAACUUUUCCUUCCUCAACUUUAAUGUCUAACAAGACCCAGUGCCAACUGCAUGCGCACACGUUUGCAUGUCUUAAUUAAGCGGGCAUGUGCAUAAAAUUAAUCAACUACCGUAAACCGUAUACACUUAAUUAUUAACAUCUAGCUAGCUAGUAAGCAAAAACAGAAUUUGUAGUACAAGAUAGUGUGACUCACGGGAAGUUGUAAGGAAGUAGUAUAUCUUCAUUGGUAUUGAGGCACUUCAAGAACUCUAGCAUGCUUUCCUCUACACCUGCUUGAUAAAAUGGAAGCUUCCAUAUGUCCUCAUUAAUGGUAUUCGGGUCAAUGAACCUAAUGCCAUAGCACUACAAGAAAUAUGUCAACUAGUGACCUUCUGUCAGUGACUCUGGAAGAAUUGGUCCUAGAUUUAUGACCAUUUCAGACCAAUUGGUCAAAAGCUGUUCGGGGGGCUCCAAACCCUAAACCAUUGCGACCAUUUUGGUCAGAAAGGUCGUAAUUUCCUUACACGAAAUGGUCACAAAGCAAACAGUGCUAGUCCGCUGCCUUAUUUCUAGUUGUUAAUGACCAAUAUAGAUGGUCAUAGCCUUGUAGAUUGUGGUGGGUUGUGAUGACUAGGCGUCAUCUCAUCAGUUUUGCCUAUGUGUCAUGUCCAUGUGGUAGUUUUUGCCCUAGGUUGUGAAGCAACCUAUAUUUCUGUUAUUCCAAAAAUUCCCAAAAAUUCUCAUAAAUGUUUUGGAUCAUAUCUUCAUCAAAUAUGUCAAAAACAUUCCUUGCCUAGUUCAAAAAUAAUUCGAAAAUAUUCAUUUUCCUAUUCUGUUCAAAGCAGCACUUUGUGAAGGAAGUACCACUUUGGCAUGUCCAAAUGGUAUCCAUUUUCUACAGUGCUUUCCUAUGCCCAAAUAACCAUCCUCCACCAAAUGCCAGCUCAAUCCAUUCAUUAUUUUGAGCCCAGCUUCAACAUUCGUAUUUAUGUCCAGUGUGGUACUUUGUAAAGCAAGUACCACCUAGGCUCCUCCUUUUGAGGUGAAAAUUUGUGAAGACGGUCUUCUUAGUAACUGAUCAUCCUCAGCCAAAACUCACGCCCAUUGGCCAUGUGCAUUUCCCGUACGGCAAAUCAAACACUUGGCUGCUUAUUCAUGUUUGAGCAUCGCUCGGUCUCCUCGUGAGAAUUUUAUGUUGUGAUUUUCUUCCUAGCACCUACCUGGGGAGUGCCCAACCCACUAGACAUGCCUAGGCCGCCCAGAACACAUGGCAACGCCACGGUCACGCGGUGACCACGCGACGGGCAUGCGAGCUUACGCGCUCUAGAGUUGGGGCCCUCGGCCACCGUCCAAACCUCGAUGUCUCGCCAUAAAACCAUGUAUUUCUGAUUAAAUAGAUACUUAUUUACCUAGAAAUGAUUUUUGUAAAAAAUAAAGAGCAAAUUAUGAGGCAGCUGUAGUUCAAAUUUGACCCGCUUCCAACUGAAUCGACGGGAAUUUGUCUUUUUCACCAGAGGUGGAUAAAUUUUUUUGACACCCAACCAUUUUAUCAAUUGUGCAUUAUAUGGCCUAGUAUUUUAUAAAAUUUAUUAGGUCUAAUUUUGCAACAAUUAUUUGGUAGUUCCUUCAAAAAAAACUCAUUUUAGGCACUCAGAAAAUGAAACAUGAAUUUUCCGUGCAAAGAAAAUGAAAACUUCCUUAGGCAACAUUGUUUGUCAUUCCAAGAUGCACCCUUUUGCAUGAUAUUAGAUUAUUUGAAAAAACAAUUCCAUGAAUGUGGCCAUAAGAUUGAUCAUUUGGGUUGAAAGCCAUGAAUCUUCACGCAUGAUAGCUCAUUUUUGAGAACAUUUUUUUAAAAUAAUUACCGUAUUACAAGUUUAUUAUUUUUCCUGGAAACUUGGUCACAUAUAAAGACACAAUGCGAAGGUUUUCCAAUUUUUUUGAUUUUUUUAUGCCCGUUUCAAAAUGCGGUCAAAACGGCGGGCUUGACCGUUCCUAGCUAGUGGUUGAAUCUUGGAAUUUUUUUGGUGUUUCUAUGAUUAAAUAGAUACUUAUUUACCUAGAAAUAAUUUUUGGAAAAAAUAAAGAGCAAACUAUGAGGCAGCUACAAUUCAAAUUUGAGCCGCUUCCAACUGAAUCGACGGGAAUUCAUCUUUUUCACCAGAGGUGGAUCAAAAAUUUUGACACCCAACCAUUUUGUCAAUUGUGCAUUAUAUAUGGCCUAGUAUAUUAUAAAAUUGAUUAGGUCCAAUUUUGCAAUAAAUAUAUGGUAGUUCCAUCACAAAAAAAAACUCAUUUCAGGCACUCAGAAAAUGAAAAAUGAAUUUUCCGUGCAAAGAAAAUGAAAACUUCCUUAGGCACAUUGUUUGUCAUUCCAAGAUGCACCCUUGUGCAUGAUAUGAGAUCACUUGAACAAACUAUGCCAUUAAUGUGGCCAUAAGAUUGAUCAUUUGGCUUGAAGGCCAUGAAUCUUCACGCAUGAUAGCUCAUUUUUGAGAACACUUUUUUAAAAUAAUUACCGUAUUACAAGUUUAUUAUUUUUCCUGGAAACUUGGUCACAUAUAAUGACACAAUGCGAAGGUUUUCCAAUUUUUUGAUUUUUUUUGAAUUUUUGAUGCCCGUUUCAAAAUGCGGUCAAAACAGCGGGCUUGACCGUUCCUAGCUAGUGGUUGAAUCUUGAAUUUUUUUGGUGUUUCUAUGAUUAAAUAGAUACUUAUUUACCUAGAAAUGAUUUUUGGAAAAAAUAAAGAGCAAACUCUAGGGCAGCUACAGUUCAAAUUUGACCCGCUUCCUACUAAAUCAGCGGGAAUUUGUCUUUUUCACCAGAGGUGGAUCAAAACUUUUUACACCCAACCAUUUGGUCAAUUGUGCAUUAAAUAUGUCCUAGUAUUUUAGAAAAUUGAUUUGGUACAAUUUUGCAACAAAUAUAUGGUAGGCCCUUCACAAAAAACCCUCAUUUCGGGCACUCAAAAAAUGGAAAAUGAAUAUCCCGUGCAAAGAUAAUGAAAACUCCCUUAGGCAACAUUGUUUGUAAUUCCAAGAUGCACCCUUGUGCACAAUAUGAGAUCAUCUGAACAAACUAUGCCAUGAAUGUGGCCAUAAGAUUGAUCAUUUGGCUUGAAAGCCAUGAAUCUUCACACAUGAUAGCUCAUUUCUGAGAACACUUUUUUAAAAUAAUUGCCGUAUUACAAGUUUAUAAUUUUUUCCGGUAACUUGGCCACAUAUGAUGAAACAAUGCGAUGGUUUUCCAAUUUUUUGAUUUUUUUUGAAUUUUUUAUGCCCAUUUCAAAAUGUGGUCAAAACGACGGGUAUGACCAUUGCUAACUAGUGGUUGAAUCUUGGAAUUUUUUUGGUGUUUCUCCUAUUAUAUAGAUACUUUUGUACCUAAAAAUGAUUUUUUAAAAAGAUAAAGAGCAAACUAUGAGGCAACUGCAGUUCAAAUUUGACCCGCUUCCAGCUGAACCGGCAGAAACUUGUCUUUUUCACGAGAGGUGGAUGAAAACUUUUUACAUCCAAACAUUUGGUCAAUUGUGCAUUAAAUAUGGCCUAAUAUUUUAGAAAAUUGAUUUGGUGCAAUUUUGCAACAAUUAUUUGGUAGGUUCUUCACAAAAAAACUCAUUUUGGGCACUCGAAAAAUAGAAAAUGAUUUUUUCGUCCAAAAAAAUGAAAAAUUCCUUAGACAACAUUGUUUGUCAUUCCAAUAUGCACCCUUGUGCACAAUAUGAGAUCAUUUAUUUGAAUGUUUCAUCUGAAAAAGUAGAAAAUGACCCCCCCCCUAAAAACUCAUUUCUCAUAACAAGUUCUAAAAGAUAUUUGUCUUAUUCCAAUUUCAAGUUUGUUAGUUUUCCUAAAAACUAUGUCAAAUUUGGUGACACAAUGAGAAUGUUUCUUUUUGAAUUUCUCAUAUCAUAAAAAAAAUAAAACAGUUUAUAUGAUUCAGCACCUUUUUUUGAAAAAUAUGGUUCAACACCUUAUUUUUAGUCGAUUACGACCAAUUUAGAAGGUCAUAACGUGUACUGCAUUUUGAUUGGUCCAUGGACAUGUCACGCGGAUCGUGCUCAAACACCGUCGGAUGCUCUCGGAUCCGACGACAGCCCUUUCUCCCUCACCCCCUCCCCCUCUUUGUCUCAAAAAAAGAAAAAUAAAAAAGAAAACUCCCUCACCCUCUCACCCCACGAACCCUAGCGCUCCAGAUCCGCCACCACCUCACGCGCUCCCUCUCCCCCAUCGCCGCCGCCACCCUGCCGAUCCCAUCCCUCCCGAUUCAGAUCCGACCCCGCCGUACGCGCCCGCGCGCCACCACCCGCUCCUCCUCGCCUCCUGGAGGACGUCCGCCGCUCUUCCUCCGCCCGUCCCGGAGGCAUCGGUCAGCGCCCUCCACUGUAGGGCCGCCGCGCUCGUCCCACCCUCGGCGGCGCACCUCCUUUUCCUCAUGGCCUCGCACCUCCCCGAUCUGUGUUCCUCGCACGCUCACCGCUUCGCCUCUGUCCCCCCUCGCCCCCAUGCCACACGCCCCAUGUCGGAAAAGGGAAGGCGAGCCACCUCCGCCCUUCCCUCGCCCCCGCGCUGGUCCCACCGCCGAGCCCAGUUCCCCUCACUUCUCCGUCCAGGCGCCGUCGCCAUCAAUCGAUCUCCCGAUCAAGUGACCUCCCUCCCCGAUCUACUCGUUGGCUAUGGCGGACGAGCCGGAGGGGCGAGGGGAGGGGGAGCGUGGACGCCAACUGGCGCCCCACCCAAGACUCAGAUCCCGCCACCGCGGCCACCAGAGGCGGGGUUGACCCGAACGCACCCGCGCCCCAUCGCCGGAGGCGACUGGCGCUCCGGGCUCCAUCCCAACGCCCGCGCCUAGAUCAUCAGUAAGAUGUAAGCGGCGACCUCAAUCUUUGAUUUGAUCCUUCAUCCCCUUGAUUUAUUGGAGCACUCCUUCCAGAUCCAGUCGCACUCCUCAUCCAGCUCCAUGUCUCCUGGUGCGGCGGCACAGUGGGAGGAUGUGAACGCGUGGCCGCCCAGGGGUGGUGGUGGUGGUGACCUGCCUGCUCGUCCCUCGUCCUCAUCACUGGCCUCUCUGAGGUCGCUGCUGGGGCAAUCUCCAUGGGCCCUUGAGGGUAAUUUCCGAUCCCUCCUCUGCAAUUGUAAUUCUACAGUAGUACAAGGGUUCCAUCUAGGAUAAUGUCUGACUGUAUUAGACUGCAUGUACUGCUAAUAGUGAAUCUACAGUAGUAUUUCUACACAUCCUAGCUAGUGAUGAAUACUUUUCAUUGCAUGGCCUGACUAAUGAGUCGCAUUGGAGCCAUUUAUUAAACUCGUACUACUAGUUGAGCUUCCAAAUGUAACUUAUGGAAAUAUCAGGUUAUCCUAUGAUGCAGUAUUUGCUGCAUCUUUCCAGUUUAUUAAGGAAGCACUGAGCUAGCUUGACUAGUAAAAAAUGAACACUUGGUACCAUUUACUACAACCCCUGAUUUUGCUACAUCAUUUUUAUAGUUCAGAAAAUCUGGGGCUAUACAUUAUUAUUGCAUAUUUAUUGCAGACUGACUGACUGUAAUAGUAUUCAGAAAAUCAGGUUGAUGGUCAUAUUAGCCCCUUUCAAAUUUCAUAUAUUAAUCAAUGGAGCACUAGCAGCCAACCUUGGAGAUGGGCGUGCAAGUGUCUGACCUCCAACCAUGAAUGUGUUCUUCCCAUAUUUCUACAGCCAAUAGUACCAAACUGCCAUUACAAACAUGUCACUCCACUAGCUAGCCGGCAACUCAGUCUUACUUUCCAAGCAAAAACAAAGCAUCUUUCGCCUUUGGCUUCUUACUGGCGUUAUCAUGGCUGGCAUGUUUUGAUAUACUCAAUCCUGCAAUUUCUGUUACCGAUUUUCAGCUUGACCCACUGUUUUGGUCAGUGAUUUGCAUUACUCUUGCCGCUGCUCUGCUCUGUACAUACAUAACCUAGGACUCUUAUCUGUAUUACAUAUUUUCAGCUUGACCCACUGUUUUAUUAAGUGAAUUCCAUGCAAACAACUAACUUUCUCUUGUUCAUGUAGAUGGAGUAGGAGGAUGAGCACCAGCAAAUGAGCCUAGAUGGGAUGGGAUGGGAUCGACCAUGACACCGUGUAGACAGUGAAGUUUAUAUCCAAAUAGGACAGUCAGGAGUAUUAUGCCUAGACAGAGCAUGGUUUCUUAAUCAACUUUCUUGUUGCACACACUACAUUCUAAAUAGAUUUAUUAACUUGAUCUUAGAGCUAUUUAUGCAACAAUAUCACAAAACUGACAGUGAUGUGAAUUUGUUAAGGGAGGUAGCUGCUUUUAUGUGAUCAGAGGCAUAAACAGUGCAGUUUUAAUUUUCCAGUAUGUCUUUCAGGUAAUAAUGUCAUGGAAGUCCUUGGUAAUACUCAUAUGAGUGCUUAGUAUACUCACAUCAUGGUCUACAUGGUGUAAGUUGUCAACUAGCUGUAACCCAUAUUAGUGCUUAGUAUACUCGUGAAAAGGGUUAUUCACCACCUGUAGUUCAUGGUUUAUGCAACAGCUAUUCUUCUACCAAUCUGUUGCUCAAUUGUGUUGCGGAUUCAUAUGAUAUUGGUGUACACUCAAUUUGGUUAUUUCUUGCUAGUUCUGCUACUAGUUGCUGUGUAAUCCUAGUACUACAGGUGGAUCAAUCUCCCCCUCCCUCUCACCCCUGUCUCUGUCUCUGCAGGUAGGACAGGAGGAACAAUGACAAGCGACGGGAUGAAGCCCGGCCAUGGAAACCCACCGCAGCCUUCAAGACCUCGACGGCGGUCGGUGCUAUGGUAUGAAUCCAAGAUUAGUAUGCUGCAGCUCUUCACGCCCAAGAUUAGUAUGCUGCAGCUCUCCCUCCUCACUCCAUACAUCCAGGUACUAGUUACCCAACGAGCAGCCCUGCACCUCGCUGGAUCUCGCCCAAACCCCGCUCAUCUUGCUGCUUGUGGCAGGGAAUACUCUCUGUUGAGUAUUUUGAGGAAUGAAUAUCUGUUAAGUAUGGAGUUAGGAUUAUCUAAUAAAAUUUCUGCUAUAUAUAUAUAUAUAUAUAUAUAUAUAUAUAUAUAUAUAUAUAUAUAUGCAUAAAAUUGAGAUUGCUAGCAUCAUUUACACAAGGUACACCCUUUGAAUUGAAUUGAUUGGUUCAGUUUCGUAUAUUCUUCACCCAGACUUCUAUCAUGCUUGUAACUAGUGCUCUGCUCAUGUUGUUAGACAGGAUUUUCACUUCCUGCCAUCCCAACCUUCUAUCAUGCUUACAAGAUUUUUCUUUGCACGACAGUAGCACCAGUACCUUGCUGUUGUUGGGAACGGAAGGGAGCUAUUCCAUGCGCUGAAUCUGGGGAGAAAAUCACCUUCAGCAUGUACACCAUUACCUUGGGCAUGCGUGUGGCGCUGUUGCUCGGCCUCAACAUGUCCUGGAGUGCCAUUAGCGCCGCCCUCACGCUCAUCUUCCUCGACUUCAAGGACGCUCGCCCCUGCCUCAAGAAGGUAAUUGUCUGUCCAUCCGUCUGCAGUUAACUAAGUUGUGCCCCAUUGAUGUCCUACUACUGUUAAUUGUUACUACCAUGGUGUUGAUGCUGUUCAGAAUAUGAUAUGUGCCUUAAUUCUAAGUUCUGGUCUCUCUUAAGAGACACUUCUAGCUUUUCUGACUCAAAGUUGUUAACUUGGUACUACAUGAGUUUUACUACUACUAACACAGAGAGUAUUUACUACUGCCAACACAGAGAUUUUGUAUGCAUGCUACCUCAUGAGUGUUUUCUUUGUAAUAUUUCACCUUCGUAUGCAUAGGUUUAUUCGGUUUGAAUUAUGCAUGACAUGAAAUAGAUAUUUACAGUGUUUUUCUCAACUUGUUUUCACUGUCACUUGAUAUAUGGGUUAAUGUUGGUGGUUUUGUUCUACUUGGAUGCAUUGGUACCCAUCAUCGAGCGAAUGGAUGCAACAGCGGCAAGAAGCUCAUGGCUGUGUGCAUCUAAAGCACACCAUGGACACCAUCCACUUCCUCAUCAAUGCUAACUCUAUCCAGAUCAUCGUCGACACUAUCAUCCACAGGUAUCUUCCUUGGUUUCCUUUAUUCUCUCCUGCCUUUGUGAUGUUAGUUUGCGUGUGCUGACGAGUAUUGUUAGAUCUUGCCAGUUGAAUGUAUGGUCGUGAUAGUAGAAUGGUAUUUUGUUUUAGGCGCAAUGUGUUGUAGUGCUGUUUUUUGCACAACCUGCAUAUGUGCCAUGCAUAUUCAUAUUGUGUCUCUGUUUCUUAUAUGAAUUACUAUCUCAUUUUAACUAGCUUGACAAUAAAAAGCAUGGUACUAGCUGAAUUUGUGUUAUCAUUCUAAAUACAUGUCCUUUUCUUGAAUGGUCUGUUCAUAAUAUAUUUGCCCCAGUUUUUCUCAUUCUUCUCUGAUUCAUGUAACAAGAUGACAGAUGAAGCCAUGUUGCUGUUUUGUUUGGUCUCAGCCCUGACUAUCGCCGUCGAGCGAGUCCGGCGUGUUGUUCAUCUGACUAUGGUUCCAGCCCUGACUACCGAAGUUUUUGUCCUGUUGAAGUUGCAUAGAAAUAUGAGAGAGUCCAGCGAGUCCAGGAGCUUGUGAAGUAGUACUAUAUUACACUUGUAGAGCUUGUAAAGUAUUGUAUUAUACAUGGCCCUUUGUAAUGGCACGGAUAGAGCUUUAUUAUGUGAUCUGGUUGCACUUGUUUAAGUAUAAUGUGUGUUUUUUGUCUCUGCCAAUCUAAAUACUGCUUGAAAUAUGAAGAAUAUGAGUCUGAUAGAUGGGACCCACUUACCUAACAAAUGGAAACCUGUUACCAGAACCUAACAAUUGGGACCAUCUGACUAGUGGACCCAUUUAAUAAAAAAAGAAAUGAAAUUGUUCAGCCAAAAUGGCCGCGGCCCAACAAUAAAAAAGUCUGCCAUAUUGGGCUUGGCCCAUGAUCCCGACCAAAAAAUAAUGGAAAAAAUAUAAAAAAGGCCGAAUUAUUGGGCUCGGCCCAUCUAAAACACCAAAUUGGACCGAGCUGAAUCUUGUCAGUGACCUUUUCAUUUGGUCGCAAUUUUGCCACAUCAGAUUGCCACGUCGGAUCCGACGUGGCCUGGGCAGACAACCAGUGACCAAAACAAAAGGUCAUGGGUUCAACGACCUUCUGUUUUGGUCGUAAACGUCUACGACCUUCUCACAGAGAUGGCCGCUAUAGUCAGUUUAUGACUGCCAGCUUUUGACCUUCUGUUUUUGGUCACAAAAAGGUCGCAAAUGAAAAACCAUGACCUUUCAAUGACCAAUAGUGGUGGUCACAAGUUGACAUAUUUCUUGUAGUGUAGCGUCCAGAUUUUCUCAUUUCAUACAUCUUCAUCCUGCAUAUAAUACCACAGAAAAAAAUAUAGUGAAGAUAAUUACAUGUAAUGAUUGAUCAAAAUUAUCACUACAUAACUAGCUUGAGACUUCAAUUACAGAAAGAAAUCACUUACAGACAAUAGCAACUGACGAUAGACUUGUCGAGUGCGUCUUGAUUGUAUAACUGAAAUAGUUCUGGAUACUCAAUGGCCAGAGCUUUCUCAUGGUAAUAAUGCUCAUGCUUGACAUGCACCAUGAGGGGCUCUCGAUUGGAAAUCUUGGUAAUGUUCAUGUACCAUUGAUGCAAUUCAUACAUUCUCGUUGGGAGGUCCUUGACCUUGUCUGGAUGGACCAAAAGUUGGCCCCGGACAUAUUUCCAUUUUAUUUCCGAUUCUCUAAGCGGAGACAUGGGCUCGAUUUCGAGGAGUUGUCCAACAGAAAUCUUGAGCAUUUCAGCCUGCAUUAUAUGCUCCUCCGUUAUUACCACAUCGCCCUGCUGGGGAACGCUAACGGUUUGCCCACAAUAAUAUUUGGCGCGCGUACUCCUCUCAUGUGUUGUUGGCACAACAAACGGGGGGAUCGCUUGCGCCGCUUGUUCUCCCAGCUGGGGAACGGAUUUCCCGCAUUUUUUGCCGGCUUCUUGUUGGCUCGAGCUCGAGCUUGCUUCCUUCUGUAGCCGUGCUCAAUGUAGCUUCCUGAUUUGACGCUCAUAGUCUGAGUCAAUAGGCUUGGGAGAUGGUGCUCUAGCCAUACGAAUGAAGUGGUCAAUCAUUUUCUCAGGCACUUUCUCCUUUGGCGGCGGUGCUGGUUUCGGUCCAAAAUGUGCGUCCACUUGGGCCUGCACUAUGGCUGCGUUUUGCUCCUCGGUCAUGUCGUAAGGCCUCUGAGGAAGAGGAGCGACGCUUGGACCAUAUUUAUAUCGCUUGUCUCCGCCUGUACUUCCUGUACUACCUCGACUCGUACCGCUACGCACCAUAGCUGCAGCGUAUCUCUUCUGCGAUUGCUGAGACAGCGCAGACGGCUGACGUGGCUGAUGCUGUGCCAGACGUGAAGCAGGAGGAGUGGCCUGACGCUGUGCCGGACAUGAAGGAGAAGGAGUCUGCUCAAGCGUUCGGGGACUUGGAGGAGGUGGCGAACUUCGAGGAGGAGUCGGCUCACGCGUUUGUGGACUUGGAGGAGCGGGAGUCUGCUCACUCGGUGGCGGACUUCGAGGAGGAGUCGGUAGACGACGCGGUGUCGGUGGACUUGGAAAGAUGAUGCAAUCCUUUUCUCCAUAGGAUGAUACGAUGUACGGCCUCUCCCAGUGUGCGCUCGCCAUCACCUCCAGCAAUGUCAAGUACUAGCAUCGAAUAUGGCUCCACCACUUAAUCAACCAUGACACGAGCAUAGCCUCUGGAAUCAGGAUGCAAUGGAAGGUUGCUUCAGGGGUAAUUGUGAAAGCAACGCCGUCCGCCACCUUCAUGGAUAUGUUCUUCAUUUUGGAGUGUAUCUCACAGUUAGUGUUCUCUAUGAUGUCAUCCACAGGGUGGUAUGUAUCAAGCAGUGUGUCGCCCGGGGCAGAACCAACGCUGCUUCUCGGCAUGGAUGGGAUGGUGCUAUCCGAUGAUGGACGAUCAUCCGCUUGCUGCUGCCGCUGCUGAGACCUCCUUUCCUGGCUAAGUGAGUCGAUCUGCUGCUGUUGCUGCUGGAAUUUGAGUGCCAAGUCCGCGUGCCUUGCUUCUAGGCCUUGAAGGCGUUCUGCGUCCUGCUUCCUCUGCUCCUCCUCCAACUUCCUCUUCUUCUCCUCCUCCAUCUUCUUUCUUGCACGGGACCUAUAGUCGUCGUUCCAGUCCGAAAAGCCCUCAUACCAGGGAAUAACGCCCAUGCCUCGUGUUCUUCCCGGGUGUCCAGGAUUUCCCAGGGCGUGCGUAAGCUCGUCGUUCUCUCUGUUGGGCGUGAACACCCCCGCUCGAGCUUCUUCUAUUGCGUCAAGUAUCUUUUGUUCGGCUCCUUUUAGACUUGCCUUCUUUGAAACCAGGCCUGUCUUCGGGUCCAACGCCCCCAUGCGCAUAGAACCAAGUUCUGCACCUGGGGGGCCAGCUCCUAGUAAUCGGAGUGACCCCUGCACCCUCCAUCUCUUGCUCAGACUUAUCCCACUUAGGCAUUCCCACCGCUUAGCCACCUGGACCCAGCCUAUGGAACUGUGUCUUUUUUGCGGCAUUGGCCUUGUUUUUUAUCGAUCGUUCCUUUAGAUAUUUCUGAAUCCUUGAAUUUCACGAAAUCGUCCCAGUGUUCUCUUUGCUUCUCCAGUGUUCCCGUGAAUUCUGGAGUCUUCCUUUUUGCAGCGAGGUAGUUGGCCCAUACAGUUUUCUUGUGGGUGUUGAAUGCAAUUUCCAUCUUCUUAAGAGUAGGGCCCUUCACUUUGUCCACAUUUGCUUUAGUGAAAUAAUCUGGUAGGGUGAAAUGUUUCAUCAGAGAAUCCCAAAGGUCUUUUUUGGCUAUGUCGUCGACCCAAGUAACACCUGGACGUUUAGUCUUUGGCUCUUUCCAUUCUUGAAUGGAGAUCGGGAGUUUGUCCUUCACAAGAACUCCGCACUGACGAGUCCACUUGUUUGCAAUCUUCUUAGGCAUCAAGGGUUCGCCACUAGGUUUGACGGAUUCGAUGUUGUACUUUACACCGUCCUUCAACAAUCUGCUCGGGCCUCGCUUUGUCCUGCUGUCUGUAGAAGCAGAUUUGCUCGAUCCGGAGGGCUGAAAGAAGAAGAUCGAUUCGUUCAUAUAUCUUAAAAUAAAAAAACAUGUGAUGAUCACCAGAUGCCUACUUAUAUAAAUAUACCUCGCCGGUAGUCUUUGUUAUUUGAAGAUCACCAUUCUCUGUGUCAUCAUAAACAUUGUUUGUGUCAUCAUAAUCAGAAUCAUAGUUCAUGACUUCAUCAGCUCGGUCGUCGAGAUCGAAUAUCUUUUCAUCACCCUCUCCGGUAUUGUUCAGAUAUUGGGAGCCGUCAUCUGCUUCAUUCAGAUCAUCUAGCCUGCCAGGGCUGCGUAUGAUGUCGAACAAUUCCUCUUCUCUGUCUCUGCCGGUAUUGUCCGCCAUAGCUUUUACUUAACUAAUACAGAAGAAAUAGAACAAUUUAGUAUUCAAAUUACAAUGCAUGGAUGCAAUCAAUAAGGAAAACUGAAUCAUAUUGUACAUAAUAUAUAUGCAUCGUCUCUAUUAAUAUAUAAUCUCGAAUAUACAUCAUCGUCUCGAAUAAUAUAUAUAAUCUCGAAUACAUCGUCUCGAAUAUUAUAUAUCGAAUACACCACUGGCUAGGUACCUAAUAAAGAUCGAGUACUACAGAAAAAUCUAGGGCGCCACUUGCGGUUCCUUGGGCGCGGGCGGUGGACACCCAAAGAGAAGGAACCAUCACAGGAUCAUAUCUCCGAUCAUCUGCCCAAAGAACCUGCCAAGUAGUGGAGAACCUGAUGUCGUCCAUAGCAGCCAUGUAGCGAUGGACGUGCUCGUCUUCCUCUCUGACACGGCGAUGCACCACCUCCGGCGGGACCGGCUGCCUCUGCACCGAAUGUGGCCCACGCGAACGCCACCAAAGGAGAUCAGGGUCGACGAUGGGACCCGAGGCCGGGUUCCUCACCAAGCGGCGCGCCCCUCCAGGUAGCACCUCCCAGUGCCAGCCCGGCGGAGCCCAGUCCCGGACAUGGGUCCUCUGAAGCAUGACGUCGUCACGAACGGUUCGACGGCGAGAAUGCGGGCCGGGCAUAUCGUCGAGAACAAAUACUAUAUGCCCGCAAAAAGUAACAUUAAUCUAACAUUCUAUAUGCAAAUUCUAACAAUUUGACAUUAAUCUAAUUCAUCUAACUAAAACUAAUUCUAAAAUUUCUAACAUUUCUGAUUAUAUAACUAACAUUUCUAAUAUUUCUAUAACUAAAAAACAGAAAAAUUGCUAACAUUUUUACAAAUAUUUCUAUAACUAAAAAACAGAAAAAAAUUAUAACAUUUCUAAUAUUUCUAUAACUAAAAAACAGGAAAAAUUUAUAACAUUUCUAUAUAACUAACAUUUCUAAAAAUAUUUCUAUAACUACAAAAUAGAAUAAUUUCUAACAUUUCUAUAACUAAAAAACAGAAAAAAUUCUAUAACUAAAAUUCUAUAAUGUGUGUGUGUGUGUGUGUGUAGUGUAUACAUGUGUGUUUGUGUGAACAUGGCGGCCGGGGCGAGCUCACCGGCGAGGCGACGACGGGGCAGCAACGACAGGGCGACGGGACGGGGCAGCGAUGACGGGACGGUCCGGCAAUGACGGGGCGGGGCGCGGCGACGGGGCGGCUGGGGCGCGGCGACGGAGACGACGGGGACGGGGACGUCGACGGGGGCGGCGACGAGGGGCGGCGAGGCCGGGGUUAGCAAUGAGGGGCGGGGGUGGCGACGUCGACGGGGACGGCGUCGAUCGGGGCAGGGCGGCGCGACGGAGAGAAGAAACAGAGAGGGAAAGUGAAUUUUUUUCAACUGUUGUAUAUAUAGGAUGGACCUUUAGUGCCGGUUGGUGCCACCAACUGGUACUAAAGGGCUGUUUUGGCCAGGCCGAGCGGCGGGAAGCGCCCCCCUUUAGUACCGGGUGGUGGCUCCAACCGGUACUAAAGACCCCCCCCCUUUAGUACCGGUUGGUGCCACGAUUCGGUACUAAAGGGGUGCGUUGGCGCAGUGCGGUGCGGCAAGUUUAGUCCCACCUCACUAGUCGAAGGGCUACCGCACUGGUUUAUAAGCCCUAGUGCGGUAGCUAUCUCGAGCUCCUCUCCUAAGCAGGCCUACUGGGCCUACCUGUUCAGUGCUGCCAUGUGGGCCUACUGGGCCUUUGCGGGCCUGCAUCCUGGCCCAACAGAAGGUUGUGUUUCUAGUCGUAUGCAGGCCGCUUUGGCCCAAUAGGCGGGCUUUCUUAUUUUCUUAAUUUUUUUUGCUUUAUUUAUUUUUGUUUUAUUUAUUUUUGAGUUGUUUUUUGCUAUAUUUAGAGUUUUUUCUGAAUAUUUUUGCUUUAGGUGCAAAAAAUUACAAACUUUCUGUUAGUGCCGGUAGUUUUCAAAUUUGAAUAGUUUAAAUUUUGAAUUAUUUGAAAUUUGUGUGAAUAACUAGUUUGUCAAUAACUUAACUUUGAAAAAAGAUUUUUCAGUGAUUCUUUUUUCUUAUGUUUAAUAUUAUUGUGUUUUAUCAUUAUAUUCAAUUUGGUAAUGCUUAGGUUAUUUCAAAAAUGAAAUGCCUUUGUAACAGAUAAGUUUUCGUCUGAAACCCUGAUACUUCGGGAGAGAUAGUAAAUGCAUGAAAGAAUUUGUUUGCACAUAAAAUUUCUUCGCGUUUCAAAUGCCAAAACACAUAACUACCCUAACUAUUACAGAAAUUCCCUCCUGGGUGUGAAACACAGAAGAAAGUGAUGAUAGUGAAGCCGAUCACAUCCCGGAUCUUUGGGUGUAAAACUUUUUCUUCGAGUGUGUCCCUUUGCACCGUAGCCAUGGAAAAUCUUCAUCAUUUAACUGGAUGCUCGGGUCAAUAUUCACUGCGAAUGAAGCAAUUUCAUAAAACUUUUCAUAAUCUUCUGACAUGUCUGUCUUGUCAUCCACUCCCAUGAUGUUUCUUUUCCCUGAAAAGAACUAUGUGGCGCUUUGGCUCGUCGUAUGAUCCAUUCGCUUCCUUAUCUUUUCUUUUUCUCGGCCUGGUAGACAUGUCUUUCACAUAAAAAACCUGCGCCACAUCAUUGGCUAGGACGAAUGGUUCUUCUGCAUACGCAAGAUUGUUGAGAUCCACUGUUGUCAUUCCGUACUGCGGGUCUUCCGUUACCCCGCCUCGUGUCAUAUUGACCCAUUUGCACCGAAACAAAGGGACCUUCAAACCACCUGCAUAGUUAAGUUCCCAUAUGUCCUCUAUGUAACCAUAAUAUGUCUCCUUUCCCGUGUUGGUUGUUGCAUCAAAGCGGACACCACUGUUUUGGUUGGUGCUCUUCUUAUCUUGGGCGAUCAUGUAAAAUGUAUUCCCAUUUAUCUGGUACCCUUUGAAAGUCAUUAUAUUCGAAGAUGGUAACUGGGACAGCGAGUAUAGGUCAUCUUCAAUAUCGCCAUCAUGCAUGGCACGUUUCUGCAACCAACCGGCGAAAGUCCUCGUUUGUUCACGUGUAAUCCAGUCGUCAGACUUCUCUGGGUGUUUGGAGUGUAGAAAAUUCUUGUGUUCCAUCAUAUACGGAGCCACCAAGGCGGAAUUAUGUAGAACUGUGUAGUGUGCUUCAGUGAGAGAAUGCCCGUCCAUACAUAUUAUUUGAUCCCCUCCUAGCAUGCCUUUUCCAUCCAGUCUGCCCUUAUUCCGCGAUUCAGGAACACCAAUCGGCUUAAGGUCAGGAAUAAAGUCAAUACAAAACUCAAUGACCUCCUCAUUUUCAUGGCCCUUCGCGAUGCUUCCUUCUGGCCUAGCACGGUUAUGAACAUAUUUAUUCAAGACUCCCAUGAACCUCUCAAAGGGGAACAUAUUGUGUAGAAAUACAGGACCCAAAACGUUAAUCUCUUCGCAAAGGUGAACUAGGACGUGCGUCAUGAUGUUGAAGAAGGAUGGUGGGAACACCAACUCAAAACUGACAAGACAUUGCACCAAAUCAUUCUGUAACCUUGGUAUGAUUUUUGGAUCGAUUACCUUCUGAGAGAUGGCAUUGAGGAAUGCACAUAGCUUCACAAUGGCUAAUCGAACAUUUUCCGAUAGAAGCCCCCUCAAUGCAACCGGAAGCAGUUGCGUCAUAAUCACAUGACAGUCAUGAGACUUUAGGUUCUGGAACUUUUUCUCUGCCAUAUUUAUUAUUCCCUUUAUAUUCGACGAGAAGCCAGACAGUACCUUCAUGCUGAGCAGGCAUUCAAAGAAGAUUUCCUUCUCUUCUUUGGUAAGAGCGUAGCUGGCCUGACCCUAAUGUAUGCCGUCUUUUCCGUGCAUACGUUGCUGGUCCUCUGGUGUAUCUUUUGUCUUCCCAUACACGCCCAAGAAGCCAAGCAGGGUCACACAAAGAUUCUUCGUCACGUGCAUCAUGUCGACUGCGGAGCGGACCUCUAGGUCUUUCCAAUAGGGCAGGUCCCAAAAUAUAGAUUUCUUCUUCCACAUGGGCGCGCGUCCAUUAGCGUCCUUCGGAACAGAUUGUCCGCCAGGACCCUUUACAAAGAUUACCUUUAAAUCCUUGACCAUAUCAUGUACAUCAACACCAGUACGAUGGAGAGGCUUCGUCCGGUGAUCCACCUCACCUUUGAAAUGCUUGCCUUUCUUUCUUACGGGAUGCCUGCUCGGAAGAAAUCGACGAUGUCCCAGGUACACAUUCUUCCUACAACUCUCCAAAUAUAUAUUGUCAGUAUCAUCCAAACAGUGCGUGCAUCCACGGUAUCCCUUGUUUGUCUAUCCUGAAAGGUUAUUGAGAGCAGGCCAAUCAUUGAUGGUCACGAACAGCAACGCCUUUAGGUCAAAUUCUUCCUGUCUGUGCUCAUCCCACGCACGUACACCUGUUCCAUUCCACAGCUGUAAUAGUUCUUCAACUAAUGGCCUUAGGUACACAUCAAUAUCGUUGCCGGGUUGCUUAGGGUCUUGGAUGAGCACUGGCAUCAUAAUGAACUUCUGCUUCAUGCACAACCAAGGAGGAAGGUUAUACAAACAUAGAGUCACAUGCCACGUGCUAUAGUUGCUGCUCUGCUCCCAAAAGGAUUAAUGCCAUCUGCGCUUAGACCAAACCAUACGUUCCUUGGGUCACCUGUUCCCUGUACUUUCUCUCGAUUUUUCUCCACUGCGAACCAUCAGCGGGUACUCUCAAUUUUCCGUCUUUCUUACGGUCUUCUCUGUGCCACCGCAUCGCCUUCGCAUGCUCUUUAUUUUGGAACAAACGUUUCAACUGUGGUAUUAUAGGAGCAUACCACAUCACCUUGGCAGGAAUCUUCUUCCUGGGGCGCUCGCCCUCGACAUCACCAGGGUCAUCGCAACUGAUCUUAUAACGCAUUGCACCACAUACCGGGCAAGCGUUCAAAUCCUCGUACGCAACGCGGUAGAGGAUGCAGUCAUUAGGGCAUGCAUGUAUCUUCUGCACCUCUAACCCUAGAGGGCAGACAACCUUCUUUGCUUGAUACGUACUCUCGGGCAAUUCGUUGUCCUUUGGAAGCAUAUUCUUUAUCAUUACCAGCAACUUUCCAAAUCCCUUGUCAAAUACACCAUUCUCUGCCUUCCAUUGCAGCAAUUCCAGUGUGGUGCCCAACUUUUUUUUGUCAGCUUCGCAAUUCGGGUACAACAAUUUCUUGUGAUCCUCUAACAUGCGCUGCAACUUCUUCCUCUCCAAAUCACUUGCGCAAUUUCUCUUUGCAUCGGCAAUGGCCCGACCUAGAUCAUCAGCGGGCUCAUCUGAUGCCUCUUCUUCAGCUUGUUCCCGCAUUGAUGGCUCAACUUCUUCCUCCAUUGUUGUAUCAUCGUAUUCAGGGAACCCAUGGCCAGGAUAGAUGUCGUCGUCCUCUUCUUCUUCAUUGUCUUCCAUCAUAACCCCUCUUUCUCCGUGCUUGGUCCAAACAUUAUAGUGGGGCAUGAAAUUGGACUCAAAUAGGUGGACGUGAAUGGUUCUUGACGUAGAGUAAUUGUGACCAUUCUUACAGCCAUCACAUGGACAAGGCUUAAAACCAUCCGCCCGCUUGUUUGCCUCAGCGGCAAGCAAAAAAGUAUGCACGCCAUUAAUGAACCCGGGAGAGCAUCGGUCAUCAUACAUCCAUUGUCGACUCAUAUCUUCAUUAUACAUAACACCGAAUAGACCAAAUUAAUACAAGUUCAUACAUAAAGUUCAUAUACAACACUUAAUUAAAUGCAACAUACAAAUAACUCUCUAGCUAAAGAAUUUAAAUGCAACAACAAAUGCGAUCAAGAUCGCAACUAAGGUAACAAUUGAUCCAACAGCAUAAUGAUACCAAGCCACACUAUCAAUGGCAUAUUUUCUAAUCUUUCUAAUCUUCAACCUCAUUUUCUCCAUCUUGAUCUUGUGAUCAUCGACGACAUCGGCAACAUGCAACUCCAAUUCCAUCUUCUCCCCCUCAAUUCUUUUCAAUUUUUCUUUCAGAUACUUGUUUUCUCUUUCAACUAAAUUUAACCUCUCGACAAUAGGGUCGGUUGGAAUUUCCGGUUCACAUACCUCCUAGAUAAAAAUAUCUAUGUCUAACUUGAUGGGCAUAAUUUGUCAUAAACACGAAAUGCAACAACUAGUUUUAAAAGAGAAUAUACCACAUCCGAAUCAUAACAAGGACGAGGGCCGACGGGGACGGAUAUCAAAACCAUGGCACUAUGUAUAACAAACAACGUACGAGUAAGACAAUUAUACGAGUAACUAUAUAUCCAAAUCACACAAACAUCAAUUUGGUAAUGUAAAACAUUCAUGAACAAGAGCCUCACCACACGGUGGUGCUGGCGACGGGACGGUGCGGGCGAUCGACGUGGUUACGACGGAGAUUUAGAAGGCACUAAGUAAACCACACCUACAUAUGCAAACUAAGUGUUAUUUUUGACCUCAAAUUGCAUAUAAAUCAAAUACUAGCAAAUAUAAUUCCUCACAAAUUAAUCACUAUACAAAGCAUUGCAAGAGCUAAUCUAGCAAUGAGAGUUGAAAGGACAAAGUUGCUAACCUUUGUGAUCAUUUGAAUGGAUGGGGGCCUUCAAAUCUUGACAAUUUUUGGGCAAAAUUUGUGAGGAGCUCGAGGAAGAGAGGGGAAGAACAGAGGAAGUGAGGGGAAAGGGGAAGAAUAGAGUGACUCGGGUGGACGAAGGGUUUAUGGACGUCGACCUUUAGUACCGGUUCGUGCCAUGAACCUGUACUAAAGGUGCUGGACGGGCCCCAGACUGACAACAUCCUGCCACCACUCUCUUUAGUACCGGUUCGUGGCACGAACUGGUGCUAAAGGUUCGCCAUGAACCCGUACUAAUGAGAGCGGCCGGCUAGCCGUUGGAACCAGCACUAAUGGACACAUUAGUGCCGGCUCAAAAUCAAACCGGCACUAAUGUGUCUCAGAUUUGCCCCUUUUUCUACUAGUGUACUUUUUCUAUGAACUUGGUCAAACAUUACAAAGUUUGACUUCAAUCAACUCUAAUAUGCAGAGUAAAUAAAAACGGAAGGUGUAGUAAGUAACACCCAUUUAUGUACUGCUCAUCUUGGAGACUAAUCACUACUUGGACAUUUUGAGAAGUAUCAGGAUGGUCCAACAUAUCAAUCACCAAAAGUAGUUUCCUUUUUGGAAUUGGUAGCACAUCUCUAAUUUAUGUCAUAUUAUAGAUUUCUAGAAUGUCUUUUUUUGUUGUUCUAUAGAGCUAACAUUUGUAAGAUCUUUAGUUACAGUGAUGACAAUAUAUUGGUUAUGAUACUUACCAAGAUUUAUUAGUUAGGAUGAAGAAUGAUCUGAGACAAUGAUAGUCGGGUUAUUUUUGUUUUACAUUACUUGGUUUCUGUAUAUCUUAGUGUUUUUCAUUCAUUUUAUUUUAUUUUUGCAGGAGAAACUUUUGAUCUAUUCAUAAUCAAUCAUGCCAGUAUAAAGAACACCAGAGGUAACAAAAAUUACAACCAGGUGUGUGGACCACCUAGCGAUGACUAAAAGCACUGAGGUGAGCCGAAAGGAGCGCCACCUUAACCUCCCCUCCGUCACCAGAACCGGGCAAAUAAUUCGAGCCAAAUAUUUGUACAUAAUGAUACAUUUGCGUGGUAAUUCCUAGGUUCCUUAAAUAAUAACCAAUGUGCUCAGAAUUUGAUCAUAUGGACAAGCUGUUUAAUAAACUAAAUAAAAUAAACAAUCAGUUUUACGUGAUUUUUUAUAAUUAAUAUAUUCACAUUCAUUUGUGGAGAUUUUGUAUUACUCGGGUUAGUCUUAAACUUUCAUGGUUUUACUACCAUGAAAGUAAGAUAAGACGUGCACCCUUGAGCUGAAUGCUUAGUAAAUUGAUUAAAAUAAAUACAUAUGUGCCUUUUUUGGUUUUCACUCAAAUUAGAAAUAUAGUUAUAAUUUUGCAUAUUUUCCUCUUAUGUUGCAUAUGUAUAAAUCACUAUACUCGACAAAAAACAUGUAGAGCAUCAUAAAAGAAAAAAAAAUACUAAAGCACGCGCGGAGAAUUCGGUGCCCUGAGACCCGCGUGCCACAAAUCUGCUCCCACAAAACACAGAUAGGUUUCGAGAAAAGACGUUUGUGAAAGCUGAAAAGGGGAAAGCCACCAGGAGAGGACAUCCACACGGGCCCAGCAUUGCUCAUGAUGAUACAUCCACAAAAAAUGCCUUUAAACUUUAUUGAUAUAUUCUCUUACAAUUUAAACCAACACAAAUCACAUGCUAGCCGCACAUACAUUUAGACGUAAAAAGGACUUCUGCCCAUCUCCGAGACAUUUUGUAAAACUAGGCAUGAUUACCAACUUAUCCAAAUUCACCAACAAAAAUGUACUCUAGAAAAUGAUGUUCCAGUUCAGCUCAGGAUUGUCAAGCACCACUAUUAGAGCUGGCAUGUCCACGUCUCUUGGGUCGAACUUCUGAAAUUCUAUUACUGCUCCCGCCAUUUUGCGAUUUUGAGUUAGGUCCAUAUCAGGGCCAUUCUUCGCGACAAUCCUAGUGCUGCCGCCACUACAAGUGUGAUGACCAUAGUACACAACAAUGUACUUUGCAGUUUCCUCUUCGCAAUUAAUAGUUACGUUAUGAUCCUGUUGCUGAAUUGUCUUGGUUGCUGAGCAAUUGCGUUCUGUGUAGGCGCAUCUGUAGUAGCUCCUGCUUAAUUAAAAGUUUGCUCAGUUAUACAUUAUAAUGAUAAAUUGAUUGCUUAAUAACCUGUAAAUAGAACUACCACUAUGAUUAUCAAUAGUCACAGAUUCAAAGCAGACGGAAAAAAUGCAUCCAAAUGUUUUUGACCAGGUCAUCAUGCCAUAUAAGAUUAUGUUUGGUCAUAAUAGGAUGUUCUAGGCGCGCGCACGCGCAGACAGAAUCAAUAGGGGGAUCAUGCCAUAUAAGAUUAUGUUUGGUCAUAAUAGGAUGUUCUAGGCGCGCGCACGCGCAGACAGACUGAGAGAAGUCUCACAUGUGAUGAUUUCCGAGGACAACCUCGAAUAAAGGGACUAGCAUGUACUCCCUCGAUUCUAAAUAUAUAUAAGACCUUUUAGAGAUUCCAUUACUGACUAUAUAUAUCCGUAUGUAGUCCAUAUUGGAAGCUGUAAAAAGUUCUUAUAUUUAGAAACGGAGGGAGUAGGUUUUGGCAGUAUUAAUGUGAGGAUAUGCUUGAAUGAAUUGCUUAGUGGUAAUAUAGAUACCUGGCAUGUUCCCUCCCGUUAAUGUUCUUCUGCCCAUAUUUUCUCCAAUGAUGGCCAUCAUAAUGUGGAACAACUGUUACAAGAGAUCUUGAUCGCUUGUCGUUGUUUCUCCUGCACGACGCAUACAUACAUAUAUAAGUGGCAACUAAUUGGUGAGAUACCUGAAAUGCAAACAUAUAUGGAGGAAAAGGUAACAGCUACGUACUACUAAGGAUGAUCAAAUUUGAAUGAAGACAAGAACAUAUUAAUCAAUUUGCAAAAAAAAAAGAUAUUCAAUAUUUGCAUUGGAAAAAUUAUAACCUUCUCUUCCGACCAAUGUUGCUGAUCACAGGCUUCUUGUCCUGUCCCUCGCCGGCGUUGGGAGAAAUUACAUCAACGCCGGCGAGGUCGAAGGGCCCCGUCGCGUGUCCAUGACCGCCUGCUUGGGUACUGAUCCCCUGGAGCCUGGACAUGACACCGGAGAUGCAGUCGAUCACGUCGUCGAAGAGGCAGAUGGCCAGGUUGGCCGACCUGCUGUCGGCGUCGCGAAGCGCCGGCAGGAUGAGCGCGCGGAGUUGCGUCAGAAGCUCCUGCUGCCUCCUAAGUAAGAACAAUGUGUCCAUCUCGGAGCCGUCAUUGACUGACCAUUUUGGUGCUGCUCUUCAUCUUGUUAUCCAAGAAAGUAUAUGGGAAUCAGCAGGUGCCCUCCUUAUCUAGUACAGGGGUCACGCAUGCACGGACGCACUUGCUAGUUAAAUAUGGUGCCUUUACGUACAGGGGCUCUGUACCACGGUAUGUACGUGCCCAUGGUCCGUGUACGUAAAAGAAAAGAAAGAGCAUGCAGUGUGAGACGACUGAGAGAGCACGAGGAAGAAGAGGGGUUGUUGCUUGCUCGACUGAUGGAAGAGGAAAGAAUAAAAGAGUCAAAAGAUCACCUCCAAACUGCAUACAUAUGCUGACCAUCGAAUGACAUAUAUGCUGAGCGGGAGAGUGACAUAUACGCGGCACGCAGGAAGCAGCAAAGAUAUACGCGGUUCGUCUACCAGCCGGCUGGGAUACUGAUCGAUCGAUGAGAUUAUUUUUUUACUGUAUGAGGACGUCGAUCGGGUUCAUCAGACCUCCUCGUAUGUUUGGUCAAAUUUUGUCGCCUAUAUGACUAGCUAAAUAUGAAAUAUACGCUACAAAAAGUGAGUAGGGCAUUUGGGUGUUUCAAACUGCACGCAUGCAUGCUGACUGGGAGUAACUGGCAUGAAAGGGAUAUAAUAAAUACUAAUUCACACUAAAACUACGACACGUAUUUCGGAUCGAAGGGAGCACAUGAAAAUUUAUAAUUUGCUCCAAAAAAUAAUACUUCAAAUAGUUGAGAACUAGAUCAUAUAUAGGCCGAAACUAUCAAUCCAGCGAAUAUAUAUUACCAAAAAGGCUUCUUGUCCCGCUUUUUAUAGAUAAAGCCAAACCAUAAUACAGCCACACCAAAAAACGAAUGUCCACAUGAAACAGCCGAAAAAACAAAACCAGAAAUAGUAUGUGCUGGGGACAACAGCAAAACCAGAAUCUAGUGGAUUUAUAUAAUAAAUACUAGUUGAGGAAACCACAUGGUCAUGGGAGGGUUUACUUAUUUAAUCUGAGGUGCUUUAAGCUGGUGGCGGCCAUCUGCACCACACCAUCCUGGCAAGUUUCUUUUCACGUACCGUACCCCUAGCUAGCAUGAAUUAUCCAAGAUGAUACAAUAAUAUAGCUGGCACAACAUUGUCGUGUACUGUUGCCGGUAGCAAAGCUUGGCCUUAUGCAUAAUGAAUAGUCAAGUAUGAUGGUCUUAUUGUGAAUGAGUUUUGGAAUGGUGAUCAGUAGGAGCCAAGCAAUGUUUGAACAUACUAUUACUUGUCAACAUAGGAUAGUUGACCGUAGGAUGAACCGCCAUAGCAUGCAUAUAUAUCCCAAACCACCAAGAACACCUUGCAAGUAUAUUCCUUAAAACAGGCUUUCACCCCGCUUUAUAUAUAAAGCAACAAUUAGAAAAGUACCCGGCCGAACGAUACAAGAUGGUGAGGUAGCCCUCUUACAAAGCCGAUCCUAAGAUAUCCAGCAAACGUAGACGCACGCGACUACGCUACCAGCUACAAGCACCAGAAGCACUAAACACCCCCUGCUACGACCUAGCACACCCAAUCUCCACGACAACACCCCCAAGAGGGAAGUUGGUACAGAGCGUCGCCGCUGCUGAGUCCAUACGGACAGAGUUCUUCACCCGGAACCAAGGCACGAGGAGAAGAACCACAACGAAGUCUUCAAGGAAGAGCACGACACCCACUGGUGUCACCGUCGUCGGCGCCAUGGCACAGAGCUUUCACUCGACAACUCACAUGUGCCCCCUUGAGGCUGCCAAGAGGAGCGCGGCGAAGUCAGUGCCCCGGAUCCGGAUUAGGAUGCCACCGCACCGAAGAUAGGGCACGUCCGAGCUACCCAUCGCCACCCCUCCCGUUGCCCACACAACCCAGGAGAGGAGCCACCACAACCACAAUGAUGCCCGCUGAAGAGCAACAACGCGGCCCGCCAUCUAGGGCCGCCUACUCGGCAUCCCUGUUGUGAUAUACCGUGUGCCACCCACGUCACAACGCACACAACCACGGUAGGAGGAGCAACGAUAGUCCAUCGACUCCUAGCCCGGCAUCAGUCUCUAAGUCAGGGUAGGCGCCUCCAUCGUGGGAGGUACCCACACCUGCGUCCCAAGCUAGUGCCAGGUGGGGGGACACGACUAUGAGACUCCCGGCAGCCGCUGAUGAACCAGCCCCUGGCCAGGCAAGUUCACACGACACCAUGUCCAUGUCCACCAGCAUCGAUCCGCGUACCGAUGCACCGCAAAUGCGACCACCCCCAACGAGCACUCACCGGACCGCGCCCACCAUCGCCUACCCAGAGAGGAAGCUCUCCCACUCGUCUCGGGCCUCAAUCUGGUCCGCCCAAGCACGAGCCCCAGCUCCUGGCCCUCUCCGCGCGAAAGCUCGCGCCUUUGGCCCGGACCCAGGAGAAGGA
rnacentral:lncRNA from 1 species